rnacentral:lncRNA from 1 species
AAGCUGAAAAAUAUGCAUGCAAUUUUUUUUACCAGGUCAACAAUAAUAAAAAUAGAAAGCAUACUUGUCAAAGAAGAAAUGUCUUUGAAAGAAAAAAGUAACGAGAUAUUUGAAAGACUUACACAAUACGUUGGGGAUUCCAGAGAACGGAAUAGGUGUGAAAGUCAGCAGUGGGGUCAAACCAGAGGUGGAAUUGUUGNNNNNNNNNNNNNNNNNNNNNNNNNNNNNNNNNNNNNNNNNNNNNNNNNNNNNNNNNNNNNNNNNNNNNNNNNNNNNNNNNNNNNNNNNNNNNNNNNNNNGAGAUCCUUGGAGAUCCAAUCAACUUUUAUUUUGUGUCAACUUAGCAAAUUGUUUUUCUUUUUUCUUUUUAAUGUUUAUUUUUUAUAGUAUCGAAUUACUUAAUUUUUUGAAUGAUAUUUAAUUAUUUAUGUCAUUAAAAUGUUUAUCAUGAGAACAUUUUAUGAUGGUAAGACGUUAGAUGAUGACAAUGAAGUUUAUAGAGAAGAUCAAAAUAAUUUUCCUUAUAGAUAUGAGAGAAAAAAAUUUUUUUAGUUGAAUAUCAUUGAUUCAAUAUCUAUUAGUUUUGAAGUUUUUUGAAGUUUGAAAUAGAGUUAAUAGAAUACUAAAUGUUUUAAAAUCUAACAUUUAUAAUUUUAAUAGAGUAAUUAUUUUUGGGAAAGGGAAAACAUUGAAUUUUUUUUUGUAAUUAUUAACCAAAUAAGGUUUCAAAGGGUUACAAACAUUAUUAUACCAUAAAAAUCAUAUUUUUUUUUUAUAAAAACAUUACUUUUAAAGUAAAGAUUAUUAAAUAUAUAGAUAAUUAUGAAUAGGAGUAAUAAUAGGGAGAUGCCUAAAAAUUAAUUUAUUCUACAAUUUAUAUGCAACUUAAAAAAAUUAAAAUCUUAAAAUAAAUAUUGUUAUUGUAUUAAUAAAUAGAUAUCCAAAAUACGAAACUAAUUCGCCUAGUGCUCAAGCCAUUCCUAACUACUAAUUUUUAUCAUUUAACAUUAUACAAUACAGCUCCUGUACCUAGGUUUGUUGAUUUAGCAACUUCUCUAAGCGGUUCUGCAUUCUACAGGGAGACCCUGGGGAAAUCGCUUUGUGUCAGUGCAGUAAUUGUAAAUCAUGUAAUUCUUUUGCACCCACUUCAGCUUGUUUUGACUUGAUGAAUCAAGCUCCUGCGAAAACCAGGCUCUGCUUCUGGACUUAGAGGAAGCGCAAGAUGAUUUUCCAUUAGACCAGAGACAAGCAUCAGCUUUGAAGUUUCUGUAAGAAGCAGUGAAGGGAGCAUGUGUCCAAUCUGUCUUAACAAGGCCACCUCUCGUAGCCCAGUCAUCAGCAUUCCAAAGAGAAGAGUAUAUUCUCAUUGGCUGAUUCUUUGGGAAUGGCACUCCAAUUGAUUCUGAGUUUUUGAAUUCUCUUAUGGGUGUGCCAUCAUCUGUGAAGCUGGAAAUUUCAAGGCAAAAACUCGUAAGUCUAUCAGAAUUGAUUAAUGCGAAGGAAAUUAGGCAAACAUAGUAGGAUUUAAGGAAAAUGCUUACACAAUGCGAUGUGGAUUCCUGAGGACGGAAUAGGUGUGGAAAGCAGCCGUGGGGUCACACCAGAGGAGAAAUUGGUGCUCUCUUUUUCUGGGGGGGGGGGGAGGUGUCGUGUGUGGAAGGAUCCCCUUCGUGGUCUUCGUAUUGGUUGAGGAAAAUGAGCUGGAGAUAGCUGGAUUUUGACACUUAAUUAUGAUAAACCUUGGACCACAUAUAUAGUCUUUCUCUUUCGCUCACCAAACACGUACAUAACCAAAGGGAGAAGGAGCUAGCAAGCCGACUCCAUAUAUUGUCACCGCCGUUCACCAAUCGUGUUGCGUAUACUUGGACCGCGUCUACAAAAAGUACUCCGAAAAAGUUAGGAUCCAUCGAUUGGGUAGAAUCGUACGAUAAUAUUUAUAGAGAGAUUUUUUUUCUUUGGUGGGACACCCUUCUAUUCGUCCACUGAUUGUGAAAUACGUAUGAGAAGAAAAUUAGAGGCACCAUUUAUAGAAAUAGCCUAAAAUUAGAUCAAUAUAUAAAAGUAGCCCACAUUUAUUAUUUUUAUAUGUAGGUUAAUUAGUAGCUAAAGAAUGGUAUUUUGAACAUAAACGUCCGUGACAGCAACUGUUGAUCGCUCACAGAUUGGACACUUGACUCCUAACGUGUUGGUUGCCUGUUGAGCUUCAUUGAUCAAGCGCUUGACGUAUGCCACGUUGACGGUUCAUGAACCAUUUGUUUAGUUCAAAAGAGUUACUUAGAGCCAUUAUGUUAGUGUGCACUCUGAAUAUUUGAGUUUAGAAUAAGUUUAUUUUAUUUCUAAAUAUUUGAAAGAAAAUCAACAUUCAUUAUAUACAUGGAGAACUUUAACACUCAACUCUUAAAAAUGAUUCAAAGGGGUGCCAACUAUCCACAAAAUGUCCAUUUUUUAUAAUUAAAAUAAGAAAAUAGUAAAUGCACUACUUUUCUAAACCGACUCUAAUUUUAGGACAUUUCUUUUUUUUUUUCUAAUAUAUUAUUACCUUAUGUACCCAACGUAUUUAUUACAGUCAAUAACGUAAUUGUAAAUUUUAGACUAAAUAUACACUAGUCAACAUUUCUUUGAAUUAUUGUACGUAUAAAGCCCGAGUAUAGACUGUCGCUGUGGGAAAAUUUCAAUUCUCACGCACCCUUUAUCCAGUGAGUUCACAGCUUCCAUGGGGCAGCAACGCCGGGGACCCAACUUCAUUAUCCUUACGAAAGUUUCUAGAGAAUAAUGACUUGAAUGGGCGAAUCAUGCACAGCACAGCCCCUCCUUUUUAAGCCGCGUCCGCCUUGGGGUAUAUUUAAAAAAAGUUUUAAUAAUUCGUGGCUGCGGCUUUAUCCUCGUGUGGGUCAAAUUUGAUUAUGUAAUCAGAGCAAGUAAAUAACUAAAAAAAGCGGCAUUUGCAACUUAAUUAUUAAUUAACUGAUGUUGCCAUUUGUCAACUUGAUUAUGUCACAAUCUACUUACCACCAUUAUUACAAGUCAAUACUGAUCCAUUAUAAAACAUUAUUUAGUAUUAGGAAAAUAAUUGUAAUUAUCGAUCACAAGUUUGAACUUUAUGUUCUUAUACGAUGAUCACCAUUUAAAUAUGAGCACGCGGGUGGCAGGUGGUCAACAACUUAGAAGCAUUCUAUAUUUCUAUUUGAUGAUCAAAACGACGUGGAAAAGGUUAAAUACAAUCCAUUGAAGAAGCACCGCGAAAUCCAGUCCUACAAUCCACAGCAUUUUUAAGUCGAUUGAAGUUGGGCCGUUUCUUUGGAAAGAAAAACGGUUGUGCUCUUUGUGAGAGCAAAGGAGAAUUGGGCCUUUAUUUGUGUAAUCUGGGCUUCAAAAUGUCAACCGAAUAUGAGAUCCUUGGAGAUCCAAUCAACUUUUAUUUUGUGUCAACUUAGCAAAUUGUUUUUCUUUUUUCUUUUUAAUGUUUAUUUUUUAUAGUAUCGAAUUACUUAAUUUUUUGAAUGAUAUUUAAUUAUUUAUGUCAUUAAAAUGUUUAUCAUGAGAACAUUUUAUGAUGGUAAGACGUUAGAUGAUGACAAUGAAGUUUAUAGAGAAGAUCAAAAUAAUUUUCCUUAUAGAUAUGAGAGAAAAAAAUUUUUUUAGUUGAAUAUCAUUGAUUCAAUAUCUAUUAGUUUUGAAGUUUUUUGAAGUUUGAAAUAGAGUUAAUAGAAUACUAAAUGUUUUAAAAUCUAACAUUUAUAAUUUUAAUAGAGUAAUUAUUUUUGGGAAAGGGAAAACAUUGAAUUUUUUUUUGUAAUUAUUAACCAAAUAAGGUUUCAAAGGGUUACAAACAUUAUUAUACCAUAAAAAUCAUAUUUUUUUUUUAUAAAAACAUUACUUUUAAAGUAAAGAUUAUUAAAUAUAUAGAUAAUUAUGAAUAGGAGUAAUAAUAGGGAGAUGCCUAAAAAUUAAUUUAUUCUACAAUUUAUAUGCAACUUAAAAAAAUUAAAAUCUUAAAAUAAAUAUUGUUAUUGUAUUAAUAAAUAGAUAUCCAAAAUACGAAACUAAUUCGCCUAGUGCUCAAGCCAUUCCUAACUACUAAUUUUUAUCAUUUAACAUUAUACAAUACAGCUCCUGUACCUAGGCACUAAAGUUUUUGAAACAGCCAGCUUUAAUGGACGGCGCAUUCUUUGGGAAAGCCCUGGGGAAAUCGCUUGGUGUCAGUGCAGUAAUUGUAAAUCAUGUGAUUCUUCUGCACCCAGUAAAGCCUCCGUUGGUUUGUGGAAUCCAUUUGUUGCAAGAGCCAGGCACGGCUACCAUCAGCCUUGAAGUUUCUGUAAGAAGCAGUGAAAGGAGCUUGGCUCCAAUCCGUCUUGAUUAGCCCACCUCUUGUAGCCCAGUCAUCAGCAUUCCAAAGAGAUGAGUAUACUCUCAUUGGCAGAUUCUUUGGGAAUGGAACGCCUAUAGCCUCCAGGUUUUUGAACUCUCUAAUUGGGAUACCAUCAACAGAGAAGCUGAAAAAAUGCAAUUAAUUGAACAACACAAGUCAAUAAAAUUGUAGAAGCGAAUGACAUACUAAUAAGAGAGAAAUGGACUUUACACAAUGCGUUGAGGAUUCCAGAGAACUGAAUAAGUGUGAAAGUUGACUGUGGGGUCAAACCAGAGGUGAAAUUGCUGCUCUCUAUCACCCUUGCCUUGGCUGUACACAUUUGUGUGAACUGUGUACGGCUGACCGCUCAGGUUUCCCAAGAAUUCAAAGUCUAUCUCAUCCCAUGUUGGUCCUUGUGAGCGUAGCUACAACCUCGCUCAAAGACUCUCAUAAUUAUUAUUAAUAAACGUCGUGCAAAGAAAUCAAUGAAACAGCAGGUGUCGAUAAAAAGAAAAGCUUACAUAAUAAGCAGUGACUGUGCCAGCAGAGUUUCGAGGGACAAGCUUGAGUUGCAUAUCAAUCUUGCCGAAUAAGUAUUGUUUCUUGGACUGGAAGCCUGAGCCAGAGUAACGGUCGAGAGUGAGAGUAAGCAGCUGGCCGUUGUUGAAUAUUUUCCCAUGACCAUCUCCCCAUGUGAUAUCAAAUUCCUCAUUGAAAUUACCAGCAGAAACAGCAGCUAAACACCCAACAAAAAUACACAUCAUCAUCCCAAACGAAUCAGAACCCAUAUCUUUCAGGAUUUUGGGAACUGGAGCUCGCUAUACUGAAUAGUGCAUAAAUUAUUACUAGUUUUGCAUGGAUGUAAUGUAAUAUUAUAUAGGGGAUUGGAGUAUAGAAAUGGACAAAAGAAGAGUGAAGAAGAGGGUGCGUUUGGAUGGUUGUUUCAUGUUUGCCGUUUCUGAAAGUGCAAAGUUGUCAACAGCUGGCUGUGCCAUGAAUUGAAAGAGAGGAAAAUUUGGCUGUUUCUCAUUUGCAGACAGAUUAUGUGACAUGGCCCCAAAUUCCAAAUGGGGUUCGGUGCCCGCAUGCAUGCCCACUUGAUCUUGAAUUGUGAUCAUGAUUAUCCGGUACUCGCACAUAUCUAUGUAGACACCGGUUUAGGUUGUACUUUUGCUUCUGCCGAUUCCACCACCAUGGUCCCUGGGGCUCAAUCCCGCGUCAAAUUCUUUCAAGCAUUUGACAGACGGUCGGUUAGUCAUUGUCGUACUUGUUAACAGGAUCAGGUCAAGGAACUGGGGUCCAUUAGAUGACUAUGAUACAAAAGACCAGCUGGUGAUAUAUCAUCUAAAACAUUGUUACUCAAAUACAAUCUAUCCUUAAAAACAAACCAGAAUAUCAUCCUUUUAUUGAAAUUAAUGCUGUUAAAUACAUUGUUUCCCACUUUCCAUUAACUACCUCAAGAGUCGGGGAACAGAUUAUGUUGUAUUGUAUUCUUUCUCUUUGUUUGUACUUUUUAAUUUUCUUACAACAGUAAGCUGAGAUACAGAGCUUUGAUUCUUUAUUAAAAAAAGGGAGAGAAACCAGGAUGCUUUCUUAAUAAACAAGUCUUUGAGACAAAUUAGGACAUUGUUGGUGCAUGCUUUGGGUUCAAUGAUUAGUUAAUUACGUAUUAUAACUCGUCUUUCUUAACACUUGGUGACAUGUUUCCCGUGAGCAGUAUCACAACCGUAUAAAUUUUCAAUGUAGCAUACAAUUUCCCCAUGCAUGGGCGGCUACAUGUGACUUGGAUAAAAGCCAUGACGAAAUGAGAUUAUGGAUUGUCUGCAUGAGUUAGGAAAGAAAAUUCUCAAGGUAAUUGAAACUGAACAAAAUCUGAAUAUUGUUCGAUUUAAGGAAAAUAAUCAACUUUGUUAAAUUUUGUGCAGUUAUCCUUAGAAGAAGUUUGGGAUAGCCAAAAGCCCAUUUCAUUUGGGCCGAGCAGGCACCUGAGGGGCCCUUAAUAUCAAUUCCUACCUAUUUCUUCUUGAUAAUUGGCAUGUAUAAUAAUAUAUUAUAUUACUUUGCAGAACAAUUAUCAAAUGAUGAGGAUGGCAACCGAAGUCCAAAAUGAAAAAAUAAAAAGACACAUAAAUUUUAAUGCAACCAUCCUACAUCAUUCAUUAUUCAAAGACUAUUAUUUAGAUGCAUCAAGUGGGAAGCAAUAUUCUUCUGUUACAUGAUUGAUGGCAAUCAACAAACCCUAUUGAGAAAAGAAGUAGAAGAAAGAAUUGAAAGGGGAAUUUCUAAACAUUGAAUGGAUUAGAAAAAUUCAUCAUCCUAAUUUUUGUUGGUGAGGGUGCAUUCUUGGGGGAGGCCCUGAGGGAACCGACUUGUGUCUGUGCAAUAAUUGUAAACCAUGUAAUUUUGCUGCACCCAUUUUAGCUUCCUUUGGCUUGAAAAAUCAAGCUCCUGUGAAAACCAUGUAUUUUUAGUUGUGGAAUUUGAGCUGCAAGAAGAUAUUCCAUUGGACCAAACACAAGCUUUUGCAUUGAAGUUUCUGAAGGAAGCAAUGAAGGGAGCCUGAGACCAGUCUGUUUUCACCAGUCCUCCUUUUGUAGCCCAGUCAUCGGCAUUCCACAGGCUAGCAUACGUUCUCAUUGAUUGUUUUUUCGGAUACGGAAUGCCGAAUGAUUCAAGAUUCUUGAAUUCUCUGAUGGGUCUACCAUCGAUAUAGAAGCUGAACAAAAAGAAAAUGUAAUUAAAAGUUAAUGGGAGCUUGAUAAAAUUAAAUCCAGGUUUUGAAUUUCGCUCACAUCAGGGUUGUGUAUGUGCUUACACAAUGUGACUAGGAUUCCAGAGGAUUGAAUAGGUGUGAAAAUCGGCGGUGGGAUCAAACCAGAGGUAGAAUUGUUGCUCUCUGUCACCUUUCCCUUGUGUGUAGACAUUAGUAUGAACAAUGUAAGGGUUGCCACUCAAAUUCCCCAGGAAUUCGAAGUCUAUUUCAUCCCAUGAUGCCCCUGGAGAUUUUAGCUGCACCGUAGCAAGUCUAUGUAUCAGCAUAAUGACGUGACGACUGAUAAGCAAAUUAUAUGUGAAAGGGAACAAGAAUCUUUCAUUAAGUAGCUUACAUAGUAGGCAGUGACAGUGCCAGCAGAGUUGUUGGGAACGAGCUUGAGCUGCACAUUAAAUUUUCCAUAGAGAAAUUCAUUCUUAGACUCGAAGCCAGAGCCAGAUGCUUUGUCGAGAGACAGAGUAAGAAGCUUGCCUUUGUUGAGAAUCUUGGCACGGCCAUCACCCCAUGUAAUAUCAACAUCUUUGUUAAAAUUACCAGUAUUUGCAACAAUGAAAGAGCUUGUGACAAUAAAAGAGAACAAGAAAAUUGGAUAAGCAGAAUAAGAAUAGCAAGCCAUUGACUUCAGGAGCGUUAUGCAACUUUAGUUUGACGCACUUGAGAAUACUGAGUUCCAGGCUAUUUAUUGGAGCUGCCGGUUAGUGCAUCGAAUGUUCGCUAAAUAUUGAAAUGUAUAGUUGGUUGGUGGGGUGAGUUGAGAACUGAACAGCUGGAUAGCAAAAACAAGUGCACAUUGAAAAUGGGCAUCUUUGUCAUAACUUUAAGCCAGUCAAAUUGCUUGCGGGCAUUAUUUUACAGGAGAGAUGAGCAUAGUUGCUACUUGCUUCCUAGGUUAUUUCCACCUACUCCUGAGCAUUUGGCAUAUCCACCGACAAAUAAUGCGAUGCCACUUCCAUGAAAAUUUGUUUUCUAGUAUGUUCUAGUGGACACCCAGAAGUUGCCAGAUCAAAGAGAAAUGGUUUUGGAUUUACUAUAUUGUAGCAUUAGAUUUCCCCACUUCCCUCUUAGGAUUCUGAAAACAUCGAGGGAGACCAUGAAAGUUUUUAAGGCUGAAAAAAUAGGGCAUACCCCAUGGAAAAUGUAAUAGCAUUAUAUAUAUCCAGAAGAAACAGCAGCUGCCAGAAGCUUGUAACCCUAUGUCAACAAAAUAUAAAGUAACCAAAUGGGCAACUCAUAACCAUUAUAAUUGAACCAAAAGAAUUUCAACUGGAUCCCCCAUGGCAUAUAUCAAAACAAACCAAAAAUCUAUACUUUUAAUGACAUGGGAAUCAGGAAUAGGAUUUAUGAAUCAGUGUGAUUUAUAAAAGGAUACCCACAUCCACCUUAUUUAAAAAUUAGCAUGGCAAUCAAGACAAAUUUAAAAUCUAUCAACAUGAGGCACUUGCACAGUGAGAGAAAUUGGGUCCACAACUAAAAUAGAAAAUAAAUUCAUCUAAGAAAAUAAUCCAUUAGUAGUCCUAAAGAAAAAUCAAUAGAAACGUUCACAUAAAGCACAAAGUUAGUAGUAAAUAUGACUUCUGUUUCAAUCAACAAAUCUAUCAAAGCCAGUCAUCAUCGACCAUUGGAGGAUGACAAAAUGGCAGAGUUAGAAUUUCCCCGAGUUAUGAUAAUCCGGAUCAAAGCAAUUGUCAUCAGAAGGGUCCUUCAAAAAAUCAUCUGGGGGGCAUUCAUUUAACUGUUCAAAUUUCAUAUCGCUCUCCAAAGCUUGAAAUGGUCUUGCUGCUCCAUCUGAUGAUGAUUCUGCCACUUGAUUAGAACUCUGAUUAGAAGUAGCAAACAUAUGUUGAUGAGGAAAUGUCUGGAAAGGUCUUGCUGCUACUGCUGAUGAUGAUUCUGCAGGUUGAUUAGGAUUCCGAUUUGAAGUAGUAAACAUAUGUUGACGAGGAUAUGCCUGGAAAGGUCUUGCCCUUGCUGCUGCUGCUGAUGAUUCGGCAGCUUCAUUAGGAUUCUGAUUAGCAGUAGGAAUCAUUAGAUGUUGAGUCCAUGGAGAGCGCUGCCCCAAAGGAUUGUUAUACGAAUAUGGAACAAUUGCAGGGAACCUUCCUUGAGAAACUGAAAUCGAAACAUUUUGAUUAGUCAUUCCAGGGAACCUUCCUUGAGAAUCUGAAACAUCGUGAAUAGCCAAUCGAGGGAGCCUUCCUUGAGAAUAGGGAACAUUGUGAUUAGGCAUUCCAGUGAUCCUGCCUUGAGCAUAUGGAACAUUGUAAUUAGGCAUUUCAGGAACCCUGCCUUGAGAAUAUGGGACAUCGUGAUUAACAAAGUGGCUCUGAUGAUAAAUAAAAGUAUCAUCAUAUGAAUUGAGAAAUCCUCCCUGAUUGUAGCAACCAGACAUAUCAAUGAUUCGAGGACCUUCAGGACCGUGAGGCAUGAAAAUUUCACUGGGCAGCGUAGCAGAGUCUUCAACUCCCAUAUCAAUGGCUCCAUUAUCCUGAAAUUCAGUGUCUGAUUGUGGAUCAUCUUGGCCUGAAAUUGAAUCAUCCCGUUGCGAAGUUGAAGGUCUUGAAGACGACAGCUUAGAUCUAUCCUGGUCCCUUUUCUUAUAUAUCUUACAGAGUACCCAAUCAUCUAACUGCAAUCAACAAAAUAUAUAAAAGCAAAACUCAUCAGCAAACCAACAUUGUAAAAUCGCUGGAACACUUCACAUAUGAUACUGAAAGAAACCACAAAAUUUAGUUACCCUCAUGUCAUCUCCGCUGAUUCUGGUCCUUGGAGGACCCUCCAAUCUAAAUUCAUGCAUUAUCCAUUCAGUUUUAUCUCCCCUUGGGGGUUUUCCCAUGUAGAAGACCAAUGCCUUCUUGAAUCCAACGACAACUUCGUCGUUUUUGAUAGGUUUGUCAGCUCCGGUAGCCUUCCAGAAUCCAUCUCCAGCGGCUCUAUUGGGUCUUGUCCCGUUUUUGUACUUUCUCUCUCUUGGAGUAAAAAAGUACCAUUCAUUUUCACCAAAAGGCUUAUACUUUUCUGUGCAUUAUUAAUACAGAAUCAUCGUCGUAUCAAUCACCCAAAAAAUAAAAAAUAAAAAACUUAUACUUCCUGAUUCAUUAUUUGGAAUACGGAACAAUAUCAACAUCAAUAUUUUUGGUCUUUGUUUUGGGUACAUACCGAGUACCAAACUACGAGACCAUACGUAGAAAAUUAAAUCACCAUUCAACAACGCAAAGAAGUAACUUUUGACUCAAGAAACUGAAGAGCAAACCAUUUUAUGUCAAGAAACUCAAGAAAUUCCCACUGCUAUAACAAAUGAACUCAAGAAAAGCACUAAGAACAUUACCAAAGUACGAAAACAAAUCAAGUUAUGAGACCAUAUGUACAACGAACGCAAAGGAAACACUUCUAACUCAAGAAACUAAACUAUUUCAAGAAACUCAAGAAGUUACACUCUAAUUAAUAACCAAAUGAACUCAAGAAAAAGAAAGAACUUAAUAUGCGUAAGUGCAUUAUUUAAUUUAAAGAAAACUACCAGCAAGGCAAUUGCAGAAAAACAAAAGAAACAAAAAAGAGAAACGGGGUGGUGGGUAUUUUUAACCUGAAAGUGUGUCAGGAUUAAAUUUGUACAAGUGAACUUCCUUAAUCCGAUUUGGUGGCAAAGGUUCAUUCAUUCUCUUCCUCCGCAAGUAAUGAACUAGAAGCUCUGUGUCGUGAGGCUUGAACCUGUAACCAGGAGGAAAGCUAUCAUCGAACUCAGGACCCUGAGCAGCAUUCAUCCGAUUCUUAACUGGUGGUGAAGCAUCAUGAAUAUGAUCUAUUGGCCUUUUUCCUUUGGGGCCUUGGCCAUUAGGGUUUUUACCAUUGCGGUCAUGGCCAUUGGGGUCUUGGUCCUUAUCUCCCUGCUUCCGGUCUGGCAUUGAUAACUUUUACCGAAACUUGAAGGAGACGCUGCUCUAAGUAUAAAAUUGACCUCACAAGAAUAUUUGUUGUGAUCAGAUACAUGGGGGCUUAUUUUAUACUAAUAUUUUUGGAUUAUAUAAUAUUAAGUGAAGUAGAUACUUUUUCCAACUGAUCGGUUUAUCAAACAGUUUUCGGGAGGUGAUUUAGUUGCUGGCAUUGAAGCUGAUGUGGUGAAAUCUGAUAGUUUCUGCUGAUGUAGUUGAUUGAGAAGCAGUAAAAUUCUUCAAAGUAGAAGUAGAAUAGAAGUUAUUUUACUGCCGUAUCUUUUAGCAAAAUGAGAGAAUAUAGGAUAGCUUCUUGUUCAUUUAAUGCAAUCCUUAGCAUAAUCCAACAUAUUUGCUCCUUUCGAGCGCUGUAGCUGCAAUAGUUCGGCGGAAUUUAAAAAAAAAAAUUGAUACAUAAACAAGAAGGACAGACGAUAUGACCCGAUUUUCUAUUUUUAUUAACAUAUUUUUAGUUCUCCAAAUUGAUCUUACAUUAGCUAUAUACAUAAUUUAAUGUAAUUCUGGAUAAAUAGUUGGUGCAUGUAAUUUCAUAAAUAUAUAUUUCAACCAAGCUAACUGAAUAAUAGGGAUGAAAAUGAAGAAUUAGGAGGUCUAGCAUGGAUUAUUUUGCGGGUGGCACUACAAGAAGGAGGAGUUUUAUGUGAUCGCUCUGCAGUCACAAAUGACCUUUUGUGACUGCUUUGUGGCGGUAACAAGGAGUCAUUUACGCAGGCAUCCCGAAAGUUUUGUUACCGCAUAGUCGCAUACUUUACUACAGCCUAUUUUCUGCAGUUAGGUCCUUGUAGGGCGUUAUGGGCAAUUUUGUCAUCCAAAAUAUUGACGAAAUAAGAUGGGUAUGUUAAGAACUUGGCCCAAAGAUUAACUCGCACGGCCCAGUAUGAGUGCAGUGGUUGGACUAACCCCGGCAUCCGAAUUAAUUUUCCACAUUAAAAUUUGGGAAAAAAAAAAAAAGAAAUUGAACAUGUUUCCUCCCAAGGAACCUGUUAAUUGAUGGCAGUCGAUUCUGACUGCAUUUUCUCACAACUUCGUUCUCAGACAUUUCAUCUGCGAAUUGCGGCUGGAAUCUGAUAUUAAUUUACUAAGUUUGGAAUUUUUUUUUUUGUCUUAACCACGAGAUCUUUUGGGGAGUGCCCCAACUGUGGGAGACACUAUUAAACAUGUACCACAAUCCAAACUAAAAGUCCCUGCUCGAACCGGGAGGCACAUGUUCUCCCAACAAAGGCGACUUCCCUGCGACUCGAACUGGGGAGCAAACCCAAUCAAGGCACUUAAGGGAACUCCAUUACCAGUGGAGCCAACACUUUGUUGGUACUAAGUUUGGAAUUUAGUUUGUAGUAAGGUAGCAUUUUUUUUUAAGUCUGAAAUCAGAAUGAAUCUGAAUUUUUCAGAAGUCUGAAUGGAUCUAAAUUAGAAAAUUUAAAUGAAAUGUUUAGAUUUCUUGUUUUUAAUAUUUGAUUAUAAAUGACAUCUUAUUUAUUUUUAUAACAAAAAAAGGUCUUAAACUUGGUUCUUUGAUAUUUAUAUCCUCAUAGAUUAAAACAAAAAAGGAUUAAAUCUUAUAGUUGAGGAAAUAAACUAUUUUAUAAAGAUAUUUUUGUAAUAUAAUAUUUAUUUUUCAUUCAAACAUUUUCCAUUCAAAUAAAAGAUAUAAAAAGUUAUUUUUUCUAUUCAAAUAUAAAUGUCUGAAAAUCAGACAUAUAUCACAAAAACAAAUAAGAAACUGCUAAAGUUUAAUAAACAAUCUCUAAGUUAUAUUUUCUCGUGUAUUGAUAAGAGUAAAUGCAUAUGACAUUUGCUAAAGGAAACUCAAAAAGGUUUUAAGCUUUUUUUUUUUUUUUGACCACGAGGUAUCCUGGAGAGGGCCCCAACUGUAGGAGGCACCUUUAAGCCCGUACCAUAACCCAAACUAGAAGUCCCCGCUCGAACCAAGAGGCACAAGUUCUCCCAACAAAUGCGACUUCCCUGCGACUCGAACUGGGGAGCAAACCCAAUCAAGCCACUUAAGGGGACUCAAUUGCCAAUGGAGCCAACACUUUGUUGGUAAAGGUUUUAAGCUUUUAACAUUACUUUCAAAGGCCAUUCUGCAGCUCCGUUAGUUCAUCAUAUCACACGGCUUCAUAAUGUCUAUAGAUUGAAUUGAGUUUCUUGUUUCUCCAACUCAAAUUUUUAGUCUCCUUUAUGAUAGGGUUGUGGUGGCAGGGAUAAAACAUUGCGCUCUAUCUUAAAGAAUAUUUAGUUAUCAAUAUCUAAGGAGAUUGAGGAGAAAAAUUUAUCUCAAAAUGACAAGAAGAAGAAAAAAUAAAAGUACAUCGGAGGUACAUCGUUCAUAAAGAAUUUAAAAAUCAUAGAGCUUCAACAAUAUAUAGUAGCCGUGCAGUUUAUGCUCCUUUUUGUGAUAUAUAUGGCUUAUUACAUUCAUAAAAAAUUGUUCCGUUACAUUUUUUCCAUUGGGAUUUAAGGAAAAAAAAUUCUGAAAACAGCUCUUGAAUUGGAAUUAAGAGAGAUAAAAGAAACAACUCAAGCUUUGAGGCAAACAAAGAAUAUGAUCGUCACGUAAAUAAUUUGGUAUUCUAGGAAACUAUGUAUAUAAUUUUAGUGAUUAGAAAAUCUUGUUCAAAGAGCGUUACAACUGAAAACUGUGAGAAAUAAUCAGUUGUACUGUCAAAGUUGAGUUACAAAUAUUUUAAAUAUUUUGAUAAUGGUAACAGAAUUAGUACCAAAAAGCUAAAGCAAAUGGAGCCUUAGCAUACCACCCAUAGAAAUAGCAACUCUCCUUGAAUAUCCAUGCUGCUGACAUUCAUAUAAAUAACAAUCAAAGUACACAGAAUUGCGAGAAAAAUUGAGUUCAAGAAAACCGACCUCUACUAAAGUACACUCUAACUAACUUAUUAUAAAUGCCAAUUAAUGUCAGCUACCAUUAACUAAUCGAAUCACAAAAUGAAAAGAGUUAGAAGUUCGUAAAACAAUUGUCUUCCGAAGGGAGAUCACUAAACGGCAGAUAUCCGAACUCUUCAGGCUUCAUAGGGCUCUCCCACGUAGGAUUAUGAUGAAGCAUUUGCUGAAACCCCAACUGAGGGACUAAAGGAAGCCAAUUCUGAGAAUUACCCUGAUGACCAUCCUGAAAAUUAGCAUAUGGACUCUGACAAGAUAAAAGGACAUUAUCAUAUGCGCUGAAGAAUCUUCCCUGGUUGUAGUAAUCAGGCACAUCAAAGAUUCCAAGGCCUUCAGGCUUGAAAAUUUCUGUUUUGGGCAGCAUUUUAGCCUUUUCGUCAACUGAAAUUUGUUCACUAUCUUGAGAUUGAGUUGCAACUUCGCUUCUUGAUUGUUGAUCCUCCUCUGAAUUCUCUCGUUUUCGAGUAGAAGCUUUCGCUGACUGCUUUGUUUUCUUAUAGAUCCUACAGAGAACCCAGUCAUCUAACUGCAAGGGACAUGUAUGCAGCAGAAAUUAGUCAAAUAAAACCAAAAAAAAGAAUAAAAUAAAAAUGAAUUUGGACAACAAGGAAAAUCAUUCUACCCUCAUAUCAUUUCGGCCUUUUUGUUUCUGUGGUGGAUUAUUCACUAUGUAUUCAUGCAUGAUCCAGUUAGUCUUAUCACCCUUUGGAGCUUUUCCCUUGUAGAAGACCAAUGCCUUCUUGAAUCCAACCAAACUGUCAUUGUGCUUAACAGGUUUAUCUGCUCCUGUGGCCUUCCAGUACCCAUCUGCAGCAGCUCGAUUGGGUCUUAGACCAUUUCGAUACUUUCUAUCUCUUGGUGUAAAGAAAUACCAUUCCAUUUCACCAAGUGACUUGUACCUUUCUGUAAAUCAUUGCAUCAAUGGACAGAAUAAAAGAAAUUUCAUAAAGAUAUCAUGAAGAAAAUAUAGACAAACUAAUACGAAAGAAAGACCAUAUUAUAAAUGUUUUGAAUAUAAGGGGAUUAAAUUUUAUAUGCUGAUUUACAAUACCAUCUAAAUCUAAAAUCAUAUCUGAUGUAAAAUCCCAUCACAUUAAAACAUACACUGUAAUAUUAUAUUUGUAAUGGCAUAAACAUCUAUCAUGAAAAAGAGUAGAGAAACCACAACUAUUCAAAGCCAAAGCAAAGAUUACAAAAUUUGAAUAAUGAAGAGGAACUACACCAUUUUAACUAACGAGACUCAGAAAAUUUCCAUUCUAAUGAAUAAUAAUCUCGAGAAAUAAGCAAUAAACAGAUUUUUUUUAAAAAAAAAUUAAUCAUAUAUGAUGCGUGCCAAUAAAACAACAUACAACACAGAAAUUAAGAAAAUAAGAAAUUAAAAGUGUCUUUUUUUUCCCUCCUAACCUGUAAGUGUGUUAGGAUUAAACCUAUACAACUCCACCACCUUGAUCUGGUUUGGUGGCAAUGGCUGAUUCAGUAUCUUCCUCCGCAAGUAAUAAACCACAAGUUCUCCAUCGUGGGGUUUGAAUCGGUAACCAGGUGGGAAUGAAUCAAAAUAAGAAUCAUCAGCGAUCAGAUGAUGACCAGUACUCUUCACAGGAUGCCGUACAAGUGAAGCAUCGUCACUUUGCUUUUUAGGGCUUUCUCCAUUAGGGUUUUCUCCACAAGGGUUUUGACCAUUAGGGUUUUUCCCUUCAACCCCCAGCUGCUCCUUCUGUUUUUGGUCCUUCAUGCAGGACUUAGGAAAAUGAUGCAGAUGAAAAAUGAACCAAAUAGAAGUGAUAGCUAGCUACUUUGUUCGUUGUGAUAAGAUUUAUGUGACUUCAUACAAAUAUUUUGGGAUAUCAGGUAGCUAUUAUUUCUAAUUUGAUUAAUUGAAGUUUUACUUUUGUGUUUAUCAAAUAAGUGUAAAGUUAUCUUUUUGCCACGUGUAAAUGAUGCUGGCGCCUAAGAUGUCGGGGAAACGUGGCGGUGAAUUUCAGUUGAUGGAGCUAAUUUGGAGGAGUCAAUAUCUGUCAACACAUUUAAAGGUAAAGUUUAAUUUCAAAACAUUAAAAAGAGGCAAGUUUGGGAUUGAGUUGCUACAAAAGUUAUUAAUAUUAAUUAUUACUGUGUAAAUGUUUGAUAAAAAUAUUAGCUGUUAAGUUAAUUAUGUAAAUAUGACAGCUCAAACUAUUCCGAAAUUGUUUUGCUCUUUAUAUUCAUAUCAUCUUGCUAAAACUUUACUAUCAUUUAACAGUAAUUAACGAUGAGCACCAUUGAAUUUAGUUAGAUCAAAUUGUAGGCUAAAUUGAAGUUCUCAAAAUUCAUAUAAACAGAUUAUAUCUAGACACAAUAUGUAAAAAGCUAGCGUGGUUGUGCAACUCAAGAUCCAAUUGAAGUCAAAGGUUUCAAUUUAUAAGAUUCAUUAUGUCUCCUCAUGAAUCAUGACCAAGUAAAUAAUUCUUCUUUUUUAGUUAAAAUUUUCGUAUUGUCAAGAUUACUAGAAAGAAAAGUGAAGAAAUAUAUAUAUAUAUAUUAAGACUUGUUGUUUUAAUCUUAAGAUAAGAUUUUGAACACCCUGCUCAUUUUCUUAAGCAUAUUUUGGGACUAUUCUAAGUACGGAAACUGCUCCAAAGUCAUCCUAAUCACAUAGGGCUGAGCCCAGCCGGUCAGUAGAUGCGGAAACUAUAUAGAGUGGUCAAAAAGCACCCAUCAGCCAAAAUUUCAACGUGUUAAUAAACCAUGCUUAGGGCUGUCACUUGUGUGACAUGCAUAAAUCCGCAUUUUCGCAGUUUCUUUUCACUAAUUUCAGUCUUUGCCAUCUGUUUCCCGCUCUUGCUCUUUGCCCCACAAGUGCUAGCCUAAUCCUUGACUCUAACUCUUCCCCAUCAUCUAUCUUAUCUCUUAAAAUUUUCAUUUUUCUUUUUCCAAAUGGCAAAUCGCUUCUUUCUUUUCGUCUCUAUAAAAAUCCAAAACUAUAACAAAAUUUUAAAUAUCGCACAAUGGCUGCGGCUAAAUCACUAGUAGUGCUGAUAAUGCUGUCUGCUUUAUUAUCUAACUCUUUUGUGUUAGUUUUACCAGCUAGUAAUUUUUAUCAAGAUUUUGACAUCAUAUGGGGAAUUGACAAGGUCAGGAUUCGCAACGAUGGAGAAGUCCUCAAUCUUUACCUUGGCAAAGACACAGGCUCAGGUUUCCAGUCCAAGAAUGAGUAUCUAUUUGGCAAAAUUGACAUGCAAUUCAAGCUUGUCCCAGGCAACUCUGCUGGCACUGUCACAUCUUACUAUGUAAGGCGUAAGCUGCCAGUGAUCUUGCACGAAAAUGUUUUUCUCUUUAAGAGUAAGCUUAUUUUUAAUUCUGUGUUAUAGUUGUCAUCACAAGGAUCAACAUGGGAUGAGAUAGACUUUGAGUUCUUGGGAAAUCUCAGUGGCGAUCCUUAUAUUUUUCACACAAAUGUAAUCACACAAGGCAAAGGUGACAGAGAGCAGCAAUUUUAUCCCUGGUUUGAUCCCACUUCAGAUUUUCACACAUAUUCCAUUCUCUGGAAUCCCAAAACCAUCGUGUAAGAAUUUCAAUCCACUAAUCAUCUCUUGUUGAAAACAAGCAACAAUUCAAGUCACUAAUUAAUCCUCUUCUUUUUUUUAUUAGACGUGUCUCUUUUUUUUGGUUUAAUACUUCAUAUAUUCUUUGGGCUCUUUUGGGUUAAAAAGGCUCUCUAACAUUUUUGUUUAAAAACGUUUUCAGAUUCUAUGUCGAUGGCACACCGAUUAGAGAGUUCAAGAACUUGGAGUCAAUCAACAUUCCUUACCCAAAAAACCAACCAAUGAGAAUACACUCGAGUCUCUGGAACGCUGAUGACUGGGCAACAAGAGGCGGUCUUGUCAAAACAGAUUGGACAAAAGCUCCAUUUACAGCUUCUUGUAGAAACUUUAAUGCCAAAACUUGCAUUCGUUACCCAGCAGGUCCAAUCAUUUCUGCGCCUUGCCCUUCGAAUUCUUCAUCCUCUGCAUGGAUGAAGAUCGAUGAGCUUGAUGAAACAAGCCGAGAGAAACUCAAGUGGGUGCAGAAGAAUUACAUGAUUUAUAAUUAUUGCACAGACACAAAGCGCUUCCCAAAAGGGCCUCCUCCUGAGUGUGCUGUGGCCACGAGUGCUUACAUAGAUUCCGUACGAGUAUAAACAUAUAUAUAAUAACAAUACUUUAUAUCAUAAUUUUGGUAUAGUUAUACAAUACUGGUGUGUUUAUUUCCCUGAUUGGGCGGAAUCAUUAAUAGCAUUUAUUUUAUCAAAUAAGUAUGGGAAUGAAAGACUAAUUCUCAAUGGUUGAUGUUUGGAAAUAAAAAAUCUGUUUCCAUUGAAAUUUUAACAUUCUGAAAAUACCUUCAUUCAAUUAAAAAAAUUUAAAUAAAAAAAAAACCAACAGUAAACAGUCGCUGUAAAUUAAAGCCUCACCGAUUUUCAUCGUCUUCACCAAACUGUCAUUGCAAAAAUCAACGUCAUUGGUCAUCGCUGACCGUUGAGCAGCAGCAAUUGCAGCAACGAUCUAGCAGCAGCAACAAUCACUGAUGAUGAUGUCGACGACGACGAUGAUAUUACGAUCCAGAUCCGAUUCUGAUUUGUUGUUAUCGUUGUUGAUGAUAAAGAUUUGGAUUAUUAUUAUUAUUAUUAUGAUUUUCAAAAUGUAUUAUUAUUACUAUUGAUAAAAAAAUAUUAUAAUUAAUAUAUUAAUGUUAAUGAUAAUAAUAAUAAUAAUAAUAAUAUUUUUAUUAUUAAUAAUUAAUAAUAAUGAUUUCUAAAUAAUAAUAAUCACAAUAAUUAAAAUAUAAAAUAAUAGUUAAUUAAGAAUUUUUUAGUAAUUUAUGACAAUCUAAUUCAUUAUGAUUAUGAUUUCAAGACAAAUUAAACACAUCAAUAAUAAUACAGCUCAUUCUAAUUUUAAUUUCUACAGUUAAAGUAAACAAUUUAUUCUAAUUUUCAUUUCUCAUUUUGAUUUAAGCUCAUUUUGAUUUUCGUUUAGUAAAAGCACCGUAUGUUUCUUGCUUUAGAUCCCGUUAUUUUGUCUGUUUGUGCACUGUGGUCACCGAACUUUUAGGGAAAAGAUUUUAAACAAGAAAAAAGUUUAGUAUAUUUCUCAUUACCAUCGAUAGUACAAUCAAUAAGCAUACAUUUCAUAUGUUAUUGUUAUCAUCAUGAGAGCUUACGGAAUGAAAUAUAUAAUACCCAAAAGAAAAAAAAAGGAAAAAAAACAAUGAUAUAAACUAUAUAGUUAUUUUAAAAGUAACGCACUGCUAAUAUGUACUUAAGAGUAUAUUUGGUAGUGCUUGUAGUUUAUUUCAUGCUCAAACUUUAUGCUGUAAUAUCAAAAUAAAGUUAAAAUAAUAGUAUUGAUGUUGUGUCAGUUAUCAUAUGAAUUAAGAUGCAAAUAUGACUAGAAACGGAUCACGUUGAUAUGGUCUGUGAGAACAUUAGAAGAGUAGAGCUCAAUCUUUUUAAGUCUUUUUGCAUUAAGUUUAUUGAAUUUAUAAUAAAUCAUAUCUGCAUCUUUCCAAUAAAAUUCGUAUUAUAACAUUUCUGAUAUAAAGAAUGACAAAUCUGUCUUUUUAUUUAUGACCACUGCAAAGAAUAGCUCUACAGAGAGCAUAUAAUUGAAUGUAAUAAGUUUACACUGAUUUAUCUGUUGAUUUAAUCGCUUCUUUAGGAGAUUUUUUCAUUUCAAAGGGAGGCCUUGAGGAAAUCUCUUUGCGUCGGUGCAGUAGUUGUAAAUCAUGAAUUUCUUUUGUACCCAUUUCAGCCUUUCUUAACUUGUUGAAUCAAGCUCUUGUGAGAACCAGGAGCCGCCGCUGGAUGGAGAUGAAGGUGAACUUGAAGCACAAGAAGAUAUGCCAUUAGACCAGACACACGCAUCAGCUUUGAAGUUUCUAUAAGAAGCGGCGAAAGAAGCAUGAGUCCAGUGUGUCUUGAUAAGGCCACCUCUUGUAGCCUAGUCAUCAGCAUUCCGUAGAGAAGAGUACAUCGUCAUUGGUUGAUUCUUUGGAAAUGGCACUCCAAUUGAUUCUGAGUUCUUGAAUUCUCUUAUGGGGGUGCCAUCAACAGAGAAGCUGGAAAUUACAAGGAAAAAAGUUAUAAGUCUAAGCAAAUUAACGACAGGGAAAAGAACAUGAUUGGGAUUGAAGGAAAAAAACAGUGCUUACAAAAUGCGCUGAGGAUUCCAGAGGAUGGAAUAGGCAUGAAAAUCAGCAGUAAGGUCAAACCAGAGGUGAAAUUGUUGCUCUCUUUCACCUUUGCCAUUUGUGAAUACAUUGGUGUGCAGAGAGUAAGGGUCACCACUUAAAUUGCCCAAGAAUUCAAAGUCUAUCUCCCCAAGUAAUAUCAAAAUCUUGGUAGAAGUUAGCAGCAGAAGCAACAAUUAGAGAGAAAAUCACAAAACUGACCAUCAACAUGGACGGUAUAUAUGAAGAUCUUAGAAAGCAAGCCACGGGAAUGUUUUGCAUGUGAACAGUAUUAGAAAUGUCAAAGAAUCUGAAAUGACGAGAAGGUUGUGCUUAGUUGGUGUUUUUAUACAAGAAGUUUAGGCAUAGUUGAACGGAGAGAAGAUACACAGGAAACUUCAAUACGUUUUGGUAAUAGUUGGCAAAGUAAUGUAGCAAAUGACUGUUCAUUAAAAUGGCGCAGACCAAGUUUUCCAGACGCGGUUUUGCUUGAUUUGUUAAUUGUUUAUAAAGAAAGGGAAGACAAGGCGCGGCCCAGUUCCCUUUUUAAAAACAAACAUUCAUUUUACAUACAGUUAGGUCCAAGUGAAUGGCAAGCGAAACCCACCGCCGUCUCGCGUGUUAGACAACGCCAGUAACAUACAAAUUGAGUAAUGUCGUGCGGUUAUUGCUAACUCAAUUCGGAUAUUUAGUUUGUCUCCUACUUAAUAUCACAUUUUAUGUAUCAUUUAUUAAUUAGGUUGAUAAAAAAUAAUUAAUAAUAAAACAAAUAAAUACUAUAUACAUGACAAUAAAAGAUUAAUUUUAGAGUUACUAAAUUAAGAAUUCAAACAGAAUAAAUAUAACAUAAUUGUCACUUGGGUUAACACAGAAUUGCUAGUGAGAAGAAUUUUCAAUUCUGGAAUUUCUUAACAAGUUCUAUGUUAUUCUUAGUAUUAUUAUAAUAUUAGUUAUUUGCUCUUGAUUUGAGAAUCAAUAAAAAAAAAAAAAAGCUGAAAAUCUGAAGAGAGGGUCACAUUAUGUGAAUUCAACUGUCUUCAGUAGUGGCGGUGGGAAAAUCUAAUAAGAGUCGGCUGGUCGUGGGACCAGGACAGCGGGAGAUACUAAACUAAACGGAAGUCGUUUGGUCCCAAAAAUAAUGCAAAAACCGCGUGCUAUAAUAAAAUAUGGCUGGUCGGAUAAUGCUUGUUAGUGCGGUAUGUACAGCUAUUUUAUUAUACUUUUUUCAAGCCAACAACUGUCCACAGCCGAGCUCACUGGACCUUUCCCUGCACUUUCCUCUGCAUUUUACAUUCCCCACCUUCACCAGCUAUAAAUACAACACAAUGGUCUUAAACACAUUCAUCGCUCCAGUUUCGAAUUAUCAACUUCUCUCUGUUCAUUCAAACACUACUUGUACCUCGUUUGCUCAAGCAUAUGUCUAUGGCUUCGAUGUUGCAUUUGUUUCUUGUGCUUGGCUCUUUGAUGGCUGCCUCUGCUGGUAACUUCUACAAAGAUUUUGACAUCACCUGGGGAGAUGGCCGUGCCAAGAUGCUCAACAAUGGCGACCUUCUUACUCUUUCCCUCGAUAAAGCUUCUGGCUCAGGAUUCCAGUCCAAGAAUGAGUAUCUAUAUGGCAAGAUUGACAUGCAGCUCAAGCUUGUCCCUGGCAACUCUGCUGGCACAGUCACUGCUUAUUACGUAAGUUCCUCCUUUUAAUACAACUUAAUCAUACGCAAGUAUUAUGUUUGCAAAAGGGCUCGUAGUUGAAUAAUCAUAUGUGAUGAUACAUAUAAAUAUCUUCUUUUUUUUUUUUCUAAUGCAGCUAAAAUCACCGGGAUCAACAUGGGAUGAGAUAGACUUUGAAUUCCUGGGAAAUUCAAGUGGUGACCCUUACACUCUUCAUACCAAUGUAUUUACAAAUGGCAAAGGUGACAGAGAGCAACAAUUUCACCUCUGGUUUGACCCCACUGCUGACUUUCACACCUAUUCUAUCCUCUGGAAUCCUCAGCGCAUUAUGUAAGCAAUAUUUUCCUUCAAUCUCCAUCGUUUGUUUUUUCCUUGUCGUUCAAUCUGCUUAGACUUAUCAAUGUUUACUUAAUUUUCAGCUUCUCUGUUGAUGGCACCCCAAUAAGAGAAUUUAAGAACUCAGAGUCAAUUGGCGUUCCAUUCCCAAAGAAUCAGCCAAUGAGAAUAUACUCUUCUCUUUGGAAUGCUGAUGACUGGGCCACAAGAGGUGGCCUCGUGAAGACAGAUUGGACGCAUGCUCCUUUCACUGCUUCCUACAGAAACUUUAAUGCUGAAGCUUGUGUUUGGUCUAAUGGAAAAUCUUCUUGCGCUUCAAAUUCUGCUUCCUCUACAUCCAGCAACGGUGCUUGGUUCUCACAAGAGCUAGAUUCAACAAAUCAAAAUAGGCUGAAAUGGGUGCAGAAGAAUUACAUGAUUUACAAUUACUGCACUGAUACAAAGAGAUUUCCUCAGGGCCUUCCUGCAGAAUGCAGAAUCUCCUAGAGAAAAUAAUCAACAAGACACUUAAAAAUUAUUUUAUUCUUUCGUGUAAUCAUUCAAUGGUUAUUCAAUUCAUGUAGAUUCUGGAGUCAGAUUCUUUGUUUCUCUGUAAUCAAUAAAAUGGCAUGUUAGUCCAAUUUUUACCAUAUGUAACACUGGUUAAUGAAUUUAAAAAAGGAUAAUGUUAUGCGUACUUGCGUGGUAUACAAAUUAAGUAUGCUAACUAAGUAAACAUAAUAUUACUAUUUCAAAAGAUUUUGUUCUUCUUUGUUGUUAUUCUUCGUAAGCUUUAGCAUAUAGUUAUAAGCCUAAUUAAAGGUAUUGACAUGAUGACUCAUUAAUAAAGCUUUUAGACCCUAGAUUGGAAUAUGAAGAAUUAUCGAGGAAGCAUGAAGAUAAAAGAGCAAAUGAGUCUCCACCAGAAUGAGAAGAAAAUGUACUGCGCGUGGGCGUUACCGUAUUUGUGUCAAUCGAGGAGAAAUUUUGGCCAUUGAUUAGUAUUUGAUAAGGCAGUAAAAGGGUAAAAUGGCAAAAAUAAAAUUAAAAAAACUAACCGAGUGAACUUACACAAGUCGAUGAGGAAGAGUGAUGCAUACCGUUAUUGGAUGAGGAAUGUGCUUGUUAAUUAACAAUGAGAGAUUGAUAGGAGGACAAGGUGCGAGCCAGCUCUCGAGUGUUGAUAUUUCAAGGCGAGCCAACCUCGCCAUGCCACCACCGCCUUUCCAGUUAAACAAAUAAAACAUUCUCUAGUAUAAGUGGUAGUAUACAAAACAGCAAAAUCUUCAGUCCGUUCGAUUUAAAUACCAAUAUCUAUAAAUUCCUUAAUAAUAAUAAUAAGCAUAUCUUCCAAUUCCAUAUGCGUUUUAUUACACAGGAAAUCACCAGGAAGUAUGUGUUAUCAAUUAACCUAAAAUUAGGAUACAAAUUCACAGUUUCAUGUUACUAGGAAGCAUCUGUAUCGGAAAUAUAGGGAUACAUAUUUCUUAGAUGUUAGAUCCAUGUUUCAUGUUAGGGACUCCAGUAAAGACUUGUCUUUAAUUUUCUUGGGUCAAGCCAUUUUCGUUUUUACAUAGCAAAGGUUUCUUGUUCAAAUCUCAGCGUGCUCAAUUUUUUGCGAAUAACACACGUAUAUGUUUCAAUUCUUGUAUGUUCAAGAACCUCUAAUUCAAUCUCCUAUCUCCGCUUUUGGAACGACAUGACCUUCAAACUGGAUCCAUGUUUCACACGGGCAGGUCUUUCAACACUUUAAUGCUAUUUUCUGGACUCCUGUUUAACGUCUUAAGCUUUUGAACCAAAUGAUUUCCUGAUAAUAAAUAUAGUUAUAAAAAAAAAUCUGUUAAUUAAGUACGUCAUUGAACAAUUUUUUUUCUUUUUCUUUUGAGCAUAAAAUGGAAAAAAAAAAUCUCGAGAGAGAAGAGCACCCAGUGAAUUCUACAUUUUCUUUUUUGUGUUUUGACUGGCGGUGGUUGGAAAAAAAAAAAAAUCUAAUAAGAGUCAGCCGGUGGUGGGAACAGAACAGCAGUACAUAAUAAGUACUUGAGUCUCAAAAGUAAUGCAAAGCCGCGUAUUGUAAUAAAAAAAAAAGUCCCUGUUGUAGCGUGUUCUGUUAGUGCGAUUCGGACAGCUGUUUUUAUUUCAUCACGCUAUUUUACGCAAACAACUGGCCACAGCUGAAGCUGAACUAACUGGAGCUUCCCAUUACUUUCCUCUGCUUUCGUUAUACUCACCUUCACCAGCUCAAUCAAGCUAUAAAUACCAAACCCUGGUGAGAUCCCAAACACACUCAUCGCUUCACUUUCAAAAAUUUCAAACUUCUCUCCAACUCAAAUUCUUCUAUCUUGUUGUUGCUCAGACGAAAGCUUCCAUGGCUUCAGUAUUGCAUCUGUCGCUGCUGCUUCUUGGCUCUUUGAUGGUUGCCUCUGCUGGUAACUUCCACCAAGAUUUUGAUAUCACUUGGGGAGACGGGCGUGCUAAUAUACUCAACAACGGCCAGCUUCUUACUCUUUCCCUUGAUAAAGCCUCUGGCUCCGGCUUCCAGUCCAAGAAUGAGUAUCUAUUCGGCAAGAUUGAUAUGCAACUCAAACUAGUCCCUGGCAACUCUGCCGGCACUGUCACUGCUUAUUAUGUAAGUUCCUGCCUUUAUAUGAAUAAACAAUAUGCAUGUUUGAUCAUCACCCUUUAUAUGAAUAAACAAUAUGCAUGUUUGAUCAUCAUGUAUCUGACAUAUAGACCUUUGAUUUUUUGUUCACGCAGUUAAAAUCGCCAGGAUCAACAUGGGAUGAGAUAGACUUCGAGUUCUUGGGGAAUUUAAGUGGUGACCCUUACACUCUGCAUACCAAUGUAUUCACAAAUGGCAAAGGUGACAAAGAACAACAAUUUCACCUCUGGUUUGACCCCACUGCUGACUUUCACACCUAUUCUAUCCUCUGGAAUCCUCAGCGCAUUGUGUAAGCAAUAUUUUCCUUCAAUCUCCAUCAUUUCUUCUUUCCUUGUCAUUCAAUCUGCUUAGACUUAUCAAUGUUUACUUAAUUUUCAGCUUCUCUGUGGAUGGUACUCCCAUAAGAGAGUUCAAGAACUCAGAGUCAAUUGGAGUUGCAUUCCCAAAGAAUCAGCCAAUGAGAAUAUACUCAUCUCUCUGGAAUGCUGAUGACUGGGCUACAAGAGGUGGCCUUGUCAAGACAGAUUGGACGCAUGCUCCCUUCACGGCUUCCUACAGAAACUUCAACGCUGAUGCCUGUGUCUGGUCUAAUGGAAAAUCUUCUUGCGCUUCAAGUUCACCUUCCUCUCCAUCCAGCAGCAGUGCCUGGUUCUCACAAGAGCUUGAUUCAACAAGUCAAGAAAGGCUGAAAUGGGUGCAGAAGAAUUACAUGAUUUACAAUUAUUGCGCUGAUGCAAAGAGAUUUCCCCAGGGACUCCCUGCAGAAUGCAGAACCUCUUAGAAGUUUUGCAAAAUCAACACAUACAUCAAAAAAAUUUAUUCUUUUUGUCAAUUCUUUGAUUCUUUGUUGUAUUUUGUCGUCAAUAAAAUGGCAAAUUAGUCCAACUUUCUCAAUGUAAUACAAAAUUUAGCAUAUAAAUAUCAUGAGAUUAUGUUCUCUACUCUUCGCAUGCUUGCUAUAUGUUCUUCUUUGGCUAGGUUUUAACGUAGAAACGACCAAACCUCUUCACAUAUGCAAUGGUACUCUAAAUUUUUGACUGACUUAACGGGUAAGGACUAGCAAAAUAUUCUAUUGCCAUUAAAACGACUUCUCUCAUUUGGGACUUUUAUCAAACAUCUUGCAAGCAAACGAUUAAAAUUCACCGACACCCACUCCGAGAUUUUUUUUUUAAUGUCCUGUUAAAAUAGUACACCCAACAGUAACAUGACAAUAAAAAGAUAAAUCAAGAACAAAUACAAUCACAAUUGUAUCCAGUUAUUUAAUUCUUAUAUUCAUCUUUGAUUCUUUCAUGUAGUAUUCAUGCAUGUUCACAAAUUUAGGAUCCAAGCUUUAUGGCAUUUUGGGAUUGAGCAUCUUCUUGAUUGGGGGCGUGAACGGUUAAUACACCUAAUAAUUGCAACCUUUGGUUUUCUCAAUCAAAUAAUAAUAAUAAUAACAUAAAGGGACUUGGAUGUAAAUAGAACAUACAGUAUGGACGUCCGACGUCCCCAGAUUUUACAUUUUUGGUGAAUUUCAACAAUUACCAAAAAGAUCAAAUAAUAAUAAUAAUAAUAAAUGAAAAGAUAUAUAUUUAUUUCUAAAAGAACAUUAACUAAGCUCACCAUGUUUGUUAAAUUUGUCAAUUAUCAACAUUUAUGCUAUACAAAUCACAAACUUCAUAACUGAUUCAAGUCAUAUAUUAAUGCAACAAAUAAAAAAAUAUAAUAAAUUUAAAAAAUAAUAAUAAUAAAUUAAAAUAGAAAAUUAGAACGAUAGCACGUAAAAGGUUGAUUAGUUGAGAUGAAUAUGAUAGUCAAAUGUUAGAUGCUGGCAAUGAAGUUUAUAGGGAAGAUUAGAAUAAUAUUCCGAGUAGAUAUGAGAGAAAUUUUUUUUGGGUGAGUAUCAUUGAUUCAAUAUCUAUUAGUUUUGAAGUUUGAAAUAGAAUGAAUAGAAUACUAGAUGUUUUAAAAUCUAACAUUUAUAAUUUUAAUAGAGUAGUUAUUUUUGGGAAAGGGAAAACGUUGAAUUUUUUUCUUGUAAUUAUUAACCAAAUAAAGUUUCAAAGGCUUAGAAUAAUUAUUAUACCAUAAAUAUCACAUUUUUAUAAAAAAAAUUAUUUUUAAAGUAAAGAUUAUUAAAUAUAGAGAUAAUUAUGAAUGAGAAUAAUAAUAGGGAGAUUCCUAAAAAUUAAAUUUUCCUUCAAUAUAUACGCAACUUUAAAAAAUUAGAAUCUUAAAAUAAAUAUUAUUAUUAUGUUAAUAAAUAGCUAUUCAAAAUACAAAACCAGCCGACUACCUAAUUCGGAUAGUGCUAAAGGCAUCCCUCACUACUAAUUAGCUUACAUUUUAUCAUUUAAUGUUAUGUUAUACAAGACAGCUCCUGUACCUAGGCGCUAAAGUUUUUGGAACAGCCAGCUUUAAUGGACAGCGCAUUCUUUGGGAAAGCCCUGGGGAAAUCGCUUGGUGUCAGUGCAGUAAUUGUAAAUCAUGUGAUUCUUCCGCACCCAGUAAAGCCUCCGUUGGUUUGUGGAAUCCAUUUGUUGCAAGAGCCAGGCACGGCUACCAUCAACCUUGAAAUUUCUGUAAGAAGCAGUGAAAGGAGCUUGGCUCCAAUCCGUCUUGAUUAGCCCACCUCUUGUAGCCCAGUCAUCAGCAUUCCAAAGAGAUGAGUAUAUUCUCAUUGGCUGAUUCUUUGGUAAUGGAACGCCUAUAGCCUCCAGGUUUCUGAACUCUCUAAUUGGAAUACCAUCAACAGAGAAGCUGAAAUAAUGCAAUUAAUUGAACAACACAAGUCAAUAAAAUUGUAGAAGCGAAUGACAUACUAAUAAGAGAGAAAUGGACUUUACACAAUGCGUUGAGGAUUCCAGAGAACUGAAUAAGUGUGAAAGUUGACUGUGGGGUCAAACCAGAGAUGAAAUUGCUGCUCUCUGUCACCCUUGCCUUGGCUGUACACAUUUGUGUGAACUGUGUACGGAUGACCACUGAGGUUUCCCAAGAAUACAAAGUCUAUCUCAUCCCAUGUUGGUCCUUGUGAGCGUAGCUACAACAUCAAAGACUCUCAUAAUUAAUAUUAAUUAGCAUCAUUACAAAGAAAUCAAUGAAAACAGCAGGUGUUGAUAAAAAGAAAAGCGUACAUAAUAAGCAGUGACAGUGCCAGCAGAGUUGCGAGGGACAAGCUUGAGUUGCAUAUCAAUCUUGCCGAAUAAGUAUUGUUUCUUGGACUGGAAGCCUGAGCCAGAGUAAUGGUCGAGAUUGAGAGUAAGCAGUUGGCCGUUGUUGAAUAUUUUCCCAUGACCAUCUCCCCAUGUGAUAUCAAAUUCCUCAUUGAAAUUACCAGCAGAAACAGCAGCUAAACGCCCAACAAAAGUACACAUCAUCACCCCAAACGAAUCAGAACCCAUAUCUUUCAGGAUUUUGGGAUCUGGAGCUCGCUAUACUGAAUAGUGCAUAAAUUAUUACUAGUUUUGCAUGGAUGUAAUGUAAUAUUAUAUAGGGGAUUGGAGUAUAGAAAUGGACAAAAGAGAGUGAAGAAGAGGGUGCGUUUGGAUGGUUGUUUCAUGUUUGCCGUUUCUGAGAGUGCAAAGUUGUCAACAGCUGGCUGUGCCAUGAAUUGAAAGAGAGGCAAAUUUGGCUGUUUCUCAUUUGCAGACAGAUUAUAUGACAUGGCCCCAAAUUCCAAAUGGGGUUCGGUGCCUGCAUGCAUACCCACUUGAUCUUGAAUUGCGAUCAUGAUUAUCCGGUACUCGCACAUAUCUAUGUAGAUACGGGUUUAGGUUGUACUUUUGCUUCUGCCGAUUCCACCACCACAGUCCUUGGGGCUCAAUCCCGCGUCAAAUUCUUUCAAGCAUUUGACAGACGGUCGGUUAGUCAUUGUCGUACUUGUGAACAGGAUCAGGUCAAGGAACGGGGGUCCAUUAGAUGACUACGAUACAAAAGGCCAGCUGGUGAUAUAUCAUCUAAAACAUUGUUACUCGAACACAAUCUAUCCUUGAAAAUAAACCAGAAUAUCAUCCUUCUAUUGAAAUGCUGUCAAAUACAUUGUUGCCCACUUUCCAUUAAUUACCUCGAGGGUUGGGGAACAGAUUAUGUUGUAUUGUAUUCGUUCUCUUGGUUUGUACUUUUUAAUUUUCUUGCAACAGUAAGCCGAGAUAAAGAGAUUUGAUUCUUUAUUUAAACAAAAAAAGGAGAGAAACCAGAAUGUAGGUCCAAAGAAUAAUGACAGUUGAGUACGAAGUCUGUUCAUGCAACCCACAAAUUGAUUCAUAAAAUUUUUUUAACCUUUCUUAUAACAUGCAGUAGUCUUUUUAUAGUGUGGACAUCCUUAUUUUAUUUUCAUGCGAAUAUACUUUAAAACCGUAGAAUUUAAGAAAAUUAACUUUUAACUCACUUAAGCCCUACGAUUUUACAGUUCAUUUAAAAACUAAAUCUUUUAAACAACACAGUAUAAAAGUGUAUCCGUAUUAAAAAAAAUACGGCGUCCACACCUGAGAAUGAUUAUAACAUGCAGUAUCCCAAAAAAAAUUGGUAUUAAUUUCAAGACAUUCAAAGUGUCAGUUCAAACAUAUUGUAAAGGAAAUUACACUUUAACACUCUCUAGCACUCUCUUCCAGCAUCUUGGCUGAAGCUUUCUCAAAAGACCCUGGCCGGCUUUGCCUUAAUAAACAAGUCGUUGAGGCAAAUUAGGACAUUGUUGGCGCAUGCUUUGGGUUCAGUGAUUAGUUAAUUACGUAUUAUAUAACUCGUCUUUCUUAACACUUGGUGACAUGUUUCCUGUGAGCAGUAUCAUAACGGUAUAAAUUUUCAAUGUAAUAUACAAUCUCCCCAUGCAUGGGCGGCUACAUGUGACUUGGAUAAAAGCCAUGGCGAAAUGAGAUUAUGGAUUGCUCUGCAUGAGUUAGGAAAGAAAAUUCUUAGGGUAAUUGAACACUGAACAAAAUCUGAAUAUUGUUCGAUUUGAGGAAAACAAUCAACUUUGUUAAAUUUUUUGCAGUUAUCUUUGGAAGAAGUUUGGGAUACUUAUGCAAAUCAUAAAUGGCCCAUUAGAGCUCGGCCUGCAAGGUUCAUGAUUCUUGAACUAAUUUCAUUUGGGCCUAGCAGGGACCUGAUGAGUCCUUAAUAUCAAUACCUACCCAUUUCUUCUUGAUAAUUGGCAUAUAUAAUAAGGGUAAAUAAUAUAUUAUAUUACUUUGUAGAAUAAUUAUCUAAUGAUGAGGAUGCCAACCGAAGUCCAAAAUGAAAAAAUAAAAAGAAAAAUGAAUUUUGAUGAAACCAUCCUACAUCAUUUAUUACUAUUAUUUAGAUGCAUCAAGUGGGAAGCGAUAUUCUUAUGUUAUAUGAUUGAUGGCAAUCAAGAAACCCUAUUGAGAAAAGUAGAAGAAAGAAUAAAAAUAUAAUUGAAAUACGAAUUUCCAAACACUGAAUGGAUUAGAAAAGAUUCAUCGUCCUAAUUUUUGUUGGUGCAUUCUUGGGGGAGGCACUGAGGGAACCAACUUGUGUCUGCGCAAUAAUUGUAAACCAUGUAAUUUUGCUGCACCCAUUUUAGCUUCCUUUGGCUUGAAGAGUCGAGCUCCUGUGAAAACCAUGUAUUUUUAGUUGCGGGAUUCGAGCUGCAAGAAGAUAUUCCGAUGGACAAAACACAAGCUUUUGCAUUGAAGUUUCCGAAGGAAGCAGUGAAGGGAGCCUGAGACCAGUCUGUUUUCGCCAGGCCCCCUCUUGUAGCCCAGUCAUCGGCAUUCCACAGGCUAGCAUACAUUCUCAUUGAUUGUUUUUUGGGAUACGGAAUGCCGAAUGAUUCGAGAUUCUUGAAUUCUCUGAUGGGUCUGCCAUCGAUAUAGAAGCUGAACAAAAAGAAAAUGUAAUAAAAAGUUAAUGCGAGCUUGAUAAAAUUAAAUCCAGGAUUCGAAUUUCGCUCACAUCAGGGUUGUGUAUGUACUAACACAAUGUGACCUGGAUUCCAGAGGAUUGAAUAAGUGUGAAAAUCGGCAGUGGGAUCAAACCAGAGGUAGAAUUGUUGCUCUCUGUCACCUUAUCCUUGUGUGUAGACAUUUGUGUGAACAAUGUAAGGGUUGCCACUCAAAUUCCCCAGGAAUUCGAAGUCUAUUUCAUCCCAUGAUGCCCCUGGAGAUUUUAGCUGCACCAUAGCAAGUCUACGUAUCAACAUAAUGAUGUGACGACUGACAAACAAAUUAUAUGUGAAAGGGAAAAAGAAUCUUUCAUUAAGGAGCUUACAUAGUAGGCAGUGACAGUGCCAGCAGAGUUGUUGGGAACAAGCUUGAGCUGCAUAUCAAAUUUUCCAUAGAAAAAUUCAUUCUUAGACUGGAAGCCAGAGCCAGAUGCUUUGUCGAGAGACAGAGUAAGAAGCUUGCCUUUGUUGAGAAUCUUGGCACGUCCAUCACCCCAUGUAAUAUCAACAUCUUUGUUAAAAUUACCAGCAUUUGCAACAAUGAAAGAGCUUGUGACAAUAAAAGAGAACAAGAAAAUUGGAUAAGAAGAAUAAGAAUAGCAAGGCAUUGACUUCGGGAACGUUAUGCAACUUAGUUUGACACACUUGAGAAUACUGAGUUCCAGGCUAUUUAUUGGAGCUGCUGGUUAGUGCAUCGAAUGUUCGCCAAAUAUUGAAAUGUAUAGUUGGUUGGUGGGGUGAGUUGAGAACUGAACAGCUGGAUAGCAAAAACAAGUGCACAUUGAAAAUGGGCAUCUUUGUCAUAACUUUAAGCCAGUCAAAUUGCUUGCGGGCAUUAUUUUACAGGAGAGAUGAGCAUAGUUGCUACUUGCUUCCUAGGUUAUUUCCACCUACUCCUGAGCAUUUGGCAUAUCCACCGACAAAUAAUGCGAUGCCACUUCCAUGAAAAUUUGUUUUCUAGUAUGUUCUAGUGGACACCCAGAAGUUGCCAGAUCAAAGAGAAAUGGUUUUGGAUUUACUAUAUUGUAGCAUUAGAUUUCCCCACUUCCCUCUUAGGAUUCUGAAAACAUCGAGGGAGACCAUGAAAGUUUUUAAGGCUGAAAAAAUAGGGCAUACCCCAUGGAAAAUGUAAUAGCAUUAUAUAUAUCCAGAAGAAACAGCAGCUGCCAGAAGCUUGUAACCCUAUGUCAACAAAAUAUAAAGUAACCAAAUGGGCAACUCAUAACCAUUAUAAUUGAACCAAAAGAAUUUCAACUGGAUCCCCCAUGGCAUAUAUCAAAACAAACCAAAAAUCUAUACUUUUAAUGACAUAGGAAGCGGGAAUAAUAUUUAUGAAUCAGUGUGAUUUAUAAAAGGAUAGCCACAUCCACCUUAUUUAAAAAUUUGCAUGGCAAUCAAGACAAAUUUAAAAUCUAUCAACAUGAGGCACUUGCAAAGUGAGAGAAAUUGGGUCCACAACUAAAAUAGAAGAUAGAGUCCUCUAAGAAAAUAAUCCAUUAAUCGUCCUAGAGAAAAAUCUAUGGAAAUGUUCACGUCAAGCACAAAGUUAGUAGUAACUAUGACUACGUUUUCAAUCAACAAAUCUGUCAAAGCCAGUCAUCAUCGAUCAUCGAAGGAUAAAAAAAUGGCAGAGUUAGAAUUUCCGGGAGUUAUGAUAAUCCGGAUCAAAGCAAUUGUCGUCAGAAGGGUCCUUCAAAAAAUCAUCCGGGGGACAUUCAUUUAACUGUUCAAAUUUCAUAUCGCUCUCCAAACCUUGAAAUGGUCUUGCUGCUGCAGCUGAUGAUGAUUCUGCCACUUGAUUAGAAGUAGCAAACAUAUGAUGAUGAGGAUAUGUCUGGAAAGGUCUUGCUGCUGCUGAUGAUGAUAUUUCUGCAGGUUGAUUAGGAUUCCGAUUUGAAGUAGCAAACAUAUGUUGAUGAGGAUAUGCCUGGAAAGGUCUUCCCCUUGCUGCUGCUGAUGAUUCGGCAGCUUCAUUAGGAUUCUGAUUAGCAGUCGGAAUCAUUAUAUGUUGAGUCCAUGGAGAGCUCUGCCCCAUAGAAUUGUUAUACGAAUAAGGAGCAAUUGUAGGGAACCUCCCCUGAGAAACUGAAACUGAAACAUUUUGAUUUGUCAUUCCAGGGAACCUUCCUUGAGAAUCUGAAACAUUGUGAUUAGCCAAUCGAGGGAGCCUUCCUUGAGAAUAGGGAACAUUGUGAUUAGGCAUUCCAGUGACCCUGCCUUGAGCAUAUGGAACAUAGUAAUUAGGCAUUUCAGGAACCCUGCCUUGAGAAUAUGGGACAUUGUGAUUAACAAAGUGGCUCUGAUGAUAAAUGAAAGUAUCAUCAUAUGAAUUGAGAAAUCCUCCCUGAUUGUAGAAACCAGACAUAUCAAUGAUUCGAGGACCUUCAGGACCGUGAGGCAUGAAAGUUUCAUUGGGCAGCGUAGCAGAGUCUUCAACUCCCAUAUCAAUGGCUCCAUUAUCCUGAAAUUCAGUGUCUGAUUGUGGAUCAUCUUGGCCUGAAAUUGAAUCAUCCUGUCGCGAAGUUGAAGGUCUUGAAGACGACAGCUUAGAUCUAUCCUGGUCCCUUUUCUUAUAUAUCUUACACAGUACCCAAUCAUCUAACUGCAAUCAACAUAAUAUAUAAAAGCAAAACUCAUCAGCAAACCAACAUUGUAAAAUUGCUGCAACACAUCACAUAUGACACAGAAAGAAGCUACAAAAUUUAGUUACCCUCAUGUCAUCUCCACUGAUUCUGGUCCUUGGAGGACCCUCCAAUCUAAAUUCAUGCAUUAUCCAUUCAGUUUUAUCUCCCCUUGGGGGUUUUCCCAUGUAGAAGACCAAUGCCUUCUUGAAUCCAACGACAACGUCGUCGUUUUUGAUAGGUUUGUCAGCUCCAGUUGCCUUCCAGAAUCCAUCUCCAGCAGCUCUAUUGGGUCUUGUCCCGUUUUUGUACUUUCUCUCUCUUGGAGUAAAAAAGUACCAUUCAUUCUCACCAAACGGCUUAUACUUUUCUGUGCAUUAUUAAUACAGAAUCAUCAUUGUAUCAAUCACCCAAAAAAAAAAAAAAGAUCUACACUUCCUGAUUCCAUUAUAUGGAAUACGGAAUAAUAUCAACAUAAAUAUUUAUAGUCUUUGUUUUGGAUACAUACAAGCACCAAACUACGAGACCAUAUGUAGAAAAUUAAAUCAGCAUUCAACAACGCAAAGAAGUAACUUUUAACUCAAGAAACUGAAGAGCAGACCAUUUUAUUUCAAGAAACUCAAGAAAUGCCCACUCCAAUUACAAAUGAACUCAAGAAAAGCGCUAAGAGCAUUACCAAAGUACGAAAACAAAUCAAAUUAUGAGACUAUAUGUAUAACGAACGCAAAGGAAACACUUCUAACUCAAGAAACUAAACCAUUUCAAGAAACUCAAGAAGUUACACUCUAAUUAAUAACCAAAUGAACUCAAGAAAAAGAAAGAACUUAAUAUGCGUAAGUGCAUUACUUAAUUUAAAGAAAAAUACCAGCAAGGCAAUUGCAAAAAAACAAAAGAAACAAAAAAGAGAAAUGGGGUGGUGGGUAUUUUUAACCUGAAAGUGUAUCAGGAUUAAAUUUGUACAAGUGAACUUCCUUAAUCCGAUUUGGUGGCAAAGGUUCAUUCAUUCUCUUCCUCCGCAAGUAAUGAACUAGAAGCUCUAUGUCGUGAGGCUUGAACCUGUAACCAGGAGGAAAGUUAUCAUCGAACUCAGGACCCUUAGCAGCAUUCAUCCGAUUCCGCACAGGUGGUGAAGCAUCACGAGUAUGAUCUAUAGGCCUUUUUCCUUUAGGGCCUUGGCCAUUAGGGUUUUUACCAUUGCGGUCUUGGCCGUUAGGGUCUUGGUCCUUAUCUCCCUGCUGCUGGUCCGGCAUUGAUAACUUUUACCGAAACUUGAAGGAGACGCUGCUUUCCCUAUAAAAUUGACCUCACAAGAAUAUUUGUUGUGAUCAGAUACAUCAAGAAUAUUUGUUGUGAUCAGAUGCAUGGGGGCUGUUAGGGCCCUAAUAGUUUAUUUUAUUUUAAUUGCUUGUUUUAAUUUCUUUCCUAUUAGUAUUAGCUUUUCUUAUUUCAAUUAAAGUCCUUAUUAAAUUACAAUUAGGAUUGUCUUGAACUACUAUAAGUAAGUGGUUCUUAUUAUGUUUUUAGGACGCAAGUAAUAAAAUUAAUUUUAAUUCCUAUUAAUUCUUCUCCCUUCUCUUUAACUUCUUCAUCUAUUCUCUCUUAAUUCUCUAAUCAAAACCCUAGAAUCCUAUUAGGGGCUUAUUUUAUACUAAUUUAUUUGGAUUAUAUAACAUUAAAUAAAGUAGAUACUUUUUCUAACUGAUCGGUUUAUCAAACGGUUUUCGGAAGGCGAUUUAUCCUUUGGAUUCAGUUAAGAUGCCAAUCUAUCGGUGGUCAAUGAUUUGAUGGUUAUGAUUGAGUUCAAUGAUUCCAGAAUGUGUGCUUUAGUAGCUGUCAUUGAAGCUGAUGUGGCGAAAUAUGAUAGUUUCUGCUGAUGUAGUUGAUUGAGAAGCAGUAAAAUUCUUCAAAGUAGAAGUAGAAUAGAAGUUAUUUCACUGCCUUAUCUUUUAGCAAAAUGAGAGAAUAUAGGAUAGCUUCUUGUUCAUUUAAUGCAAUCCUUAGCAUAAUCCGACAUAUUUGCUCCUUUCCAGCACUGUAGCUGCAGUAGUUCCGCGGAAUUUAAAAAAAAAAAAUCGAUACAUGAACAAGAGGGACAAACGAUAUAACCCGGUUUUCUAUUUUUAUUAACAUAUUUUUAGUUCUCCAAAUUGAUCUUACAUUAGCUAUAUACAUAAUUUAAUGUAAUUCUCGAUAAAUAGUUGGUGCAUGUAAUUUCAUAAAUAUAUAUUUCAAUCGAGUUAACUUAAUAAUAGGGAUGAAAAUGAAGAAUUAGGAGGUCUAGUAUGGAUUAUUUUGCAGGUGGCACUACAAGGAGGAGGAGUUUUAUGUGAUCACUCCGCAGUCACAAAUGACCUUUUUGUGACUGCUUUGUGGCAGUAACAAAAAGUCAUUAACGCAGGCGUCCCGAAAGUUUUGUUACCGCAUAGUCGCAUACUUUACUCCAGCCUGUUUUCUGCAGUUAUGUCCUUGCAGGGCGUUUAUGGGCAAUUUUGUCAUCCAAAAUAUUGAGUAAAUAUGUUAAGAACUUGGCCCAAAAAUUAACUCGCACGGCCCAGUAUGAGUGCUGUGGUUGGACUAACCCCGGCAUCCGAAUUAAUUUUCCACAUUAAAAUUUUGGAAAAAAAGAAAAAGAAAAAGAAAUUGAACAUGUUUCCUCCCAAGGAACUUGUUAAUUGAUGGCAGUCGAUUCUGACUGCAUUUUCUCACAACUUCGUUCUCAAACAUUUCAUAUGCGAAUUGUGGCUGGGAUCUGAUAUUAAUUUAUUAAGUUUGGAAUUUAGUUUGUAGUAAGAUAACAUUUUUUUUUAAAGUCUGAAAUUAGAAUGAAUCUGAAUUUUUCAGAAGUUUGAAUGGAUUUAAAUAAAAAAAAAUUGAAUGAAACGUUUAGAUUUCUUUUUUUUUUUUAAUAUAUGAGUAUAAAUGACAUCUUAUUUGUUUUUAUAACAAAAAAAAAAGGUUUUAAACUUGAUUCUUUGAUAAUUAUAUCCUCAUAAAUUAAAACAAAAAAGGAUUAGAUCUUAUAGUUGAGGAAAUAAACUAUUUUAUACAGAUAUUUUUGGAAUAUAAUAUUUAUUUUUCAUGCAAACCUUUUCCAUUCAAAUAAAAGAUAUAAAAAUUUAUUUUUUCCAUUCAAAUGUAAAUAUCUAAAAAUCAGACAUAAAUCACAAAAACAAAUAACAAACUUCUAACGUUUGAUAAACAAUCUCUAAGUUAUAUUUUCUCGUGCAUUGAUCAGAGAAAAUGCAUAUGACAUUUGCUAAAGGAAACUCAAAAAGGUUUUAAGCUUUUAACAUUACUUUCAAAGGCCAUUCUGCAGCUCCGUUAGUUCAUCAUAUCACACGGCUUCAUAAUUUCUAUAGAUUGAAUUGAGUUUCUUGUUUCUCCAACUCAAAUUUUUAGUCUCCUUUAUGAUAGGGUUGUGGUGGUAGGGAUAAAACAUUGCGCUCUAUCUUAAAGAAUAUUUAGUUAUGAACAUCUAAAGAGAUCGAGGAGAAAAAUUUAUCUCAAAAUGACAAAAAGAAGAAAAAAUAAAAGUACAUCGGAGGUACAUCGUUCAUAAAGAAUUUAAAAAUCAUAGAGCUUCAACAAUAUAUAGUAGCCGUGCAGUUUAUGCUCCUUUUUGUGAUAUAUAUGGCUUAUUACAUUCAUAACAAAUUGUUCCGUUACAUUUUUUCUAUUGGGAUUUAAGGAAAAAAAAUUCUGAAAACAGCUCUUGAAUUGGAAUUAAGAGAGAUAAAAGAAACAACUCAAGCUUUGAGGCAAACAAAGAAUAUGAUCGUCACGUAAAUAAUUUGGUAUUCUAGGAAACUAUGUAUAUAAUUUUAGUGAUUAGAAAAUCUUGUUCAAAGAGCGUUACAACUGAAAACUGUGAGAAAUAAUCAGUUGUACUGUCAAAGUUGAGUUACAAAUAUUUUAAAUAUUUUGAUAAUGGUAACAGAAUUAGUACCAAAAAGCUAAAGCAAAUGGAGCCUUAGCAUACCACCCAUAGAAAUAGCAACUCUCCUUGAAUAUCCAUGCUGCUGACAUUCAUAUAAAUAACAAUCAAAGUACACAGAAUUGCAAGAAAAAUUGAGUUCAAGAAAACCGACCUCUACUAAAGUACACUCUAACUAACUUAUUAUAAAUGCCAAUUAAUGUCAGCUACCAUUAACUAAUCGAAUCACAAAAUGAAAAGAGUUAUAAGUUCGUAAAAUUAUGAGGUAGAGGAUCAAAACAAUUGUCUUCCGAAGGGAGAUCACUAAACACAUCAUCGGGCGGAUAUCCGAACUGUUCAGGCUUCAUAGGGCUCUCCCACGUAGGAUUAUGAUGGAGCAUUUGCUGAAACCCCGACUGAGGGAUUAAAGGAAGCCAAUUCUGAGAAUUACCCUGAUGACCAUCCUGAAAAUUAGCAUAUGGACUCUGACAAGAUAAAAGGACAUUAUCAUAUGCGCUGAAGAAUCUUCCCUGGUUGUAGUAAUCAGGCACAUCAAAGAUUCCAAGGCCUUCAGGCUUGAAAUUUUCUGUUUUGGGCAGCAUUUUAGCCUUUUCAUCAACUGAAGUUUGUCCACUAUCUUGAGAUUGAGUUGCAACUUCGCUUCUUGAUUGUUGAUCCUCCUCUGAAUCCUCUCGUUUUCGAGUAGAAGCUUUGGCUGACUGCUUUGUUUUCUUAUAGAUCCUACAGAGAACCCAGUCAUCUAACUGCAAGGGACUUGUAUGAAGCAGAAAUUAGUCGAAUAAAACCAAAAAAAAGAAUCAAAUAAAAAUGAAUUUGGACAACAAGGAAAAUCAUUUACCCUCAUAUCAUUUCGGCCUUUUUGUUUCUGUGGUGGAUUAUUCACUAUGUAUUCAUGCAUGAUCCAGUUAGUCUUAUCACCCUUUGGAGCUUUUCCCUUGUAGAAGACCAAUGCCUUCUUGAAUCCAACCAAACUGCCAUUGUGCUUAACAGGUUUAUCAGCUCCUGUGGCCUUCCAGUACCCAUCUGCAGCAGCUCGAUUGGGUCUUAGACCAUUUCGAUAUUUUCUAUCUCUUGGUGUAAGGAAAUAACAUUCCAUUUCACCAAGUGACUUGUACCUUUCUGUAAAUCAUUGCAUCAGUGGACAGAAUAAAAGAAAUUUCAUAAAGAUAUCAUGAAACAAAAAAAAUGUAGACAAACUAAUACGAAAGAAAUAACAUAUUAUAAACGUUUUCAAUAUGAGGGGAUUAAAUUUUAUAUGCUGAUUUACAACACCAUCUAAAUCUAAAAUCAUACCUGAUGUAAAAUCGCAUCACAUUAAAAUAUACACUGUAAUAUUAUAUAUGUAAUGGCAUAAACAUCUAUCGUGAAAAAGAGUAGAGAAGCCACAAAUAUCCCAAGCGAAGACUACAAAAUUUGAAUAAUAAAGAGUAGAGAAGCCACUAACGAGACUCAGAAAAUUUCCAUUCUAAUAAAUAAUAAUCUCGAGAAAUAAGGAAUAAACAGAUUUUUUUAUAAAAAAAAUUAAUCAUAUAUGAUGCGUGCCAAUAAAACAACAUACAACACAGAAAUUGAGAAAAUAAGAAAUUAAAAGUGACUUUUUUUUCCCCUAACCUGUAAGUGUGUUAGGAUUAAACCUAUACAACUCCACCACCUUGAUCUGGUUUGGAGGCAAUGGCUGAUUCAGUAUCUUCCUCCGCAAGUAAUAAACCACAAGUUCUCCAUCGUGGGGUUUGAAUCGGUAACCAGGCGGGAAUGAAUCAAAAUAAGAAUCAUCAGCGAUCAGAUGAUGACCAGUACUCUUCACAGGAUGCCGUACAAGUGAAGCAUCAUCAUUUUGCUUUUUAGGGCUUUCUCCAUUAGGGUUUUCUCCACAAGGGUUUUGACCAUUAGGGUUUUUCCCUUCAUCCCCCAGCUGCUCCUUCUGUUUUUGGUCCUUCAUGCAGGACGUAGGAAAAUGAUGCAGAUGAAAAAUGGACCAAAUAGAAGUGAUAGCUAGCUACUUUGUUCGUUGUGAUAAGAUUUAUGUGACUUCAUACAAAUAUUUUGGGACAUCAGGUAGCUAUUAUUUCUAAUUUGAUUAAUUGAAGUUUUACUUUUGUGUUUAUCAAAUAAGUGUAAAGUUAUCUUUUUGCCACGUGUAAAUGAUGCUGGAGCCUAAGAUGUCGGGGAAACGUGGCGGUGAAUUUCAGUUGAUGGAGCUAAUUUGGAGGAGUCAAUAUCUGUCAACACAUUUAAAGGUAAAGUUUAAUUUCAAAACAUUAAANNNNNNNNNNNNNNNNNNNNNNNNNNNNNNNNNNNNNNNNNNNNNNNNNNNNNNNNNNNNNNNNNNNNNNNNNNNNNNNNNNNNNNNNNNNNNNNNNNNNUAUGUAAAUAUGACAGCUCAAACUAUUCCGAAAUUGUUUUGCUCUUUAUAUUCAUAUCAUCUUGCUAAAACUUUACUAUCAUUUAACAGUAAUUAACGAUGAGCACCAUUGAAUUUAGUUAGAUCAAAUUGUAGGCUAAAUUGAAGUUCUCAAAAUUCAUAUAAACAGAUUAUAUCUAGACACAAUAUGUAAAAAGCUAGCGUGGUUGUGCAACUCAAGAUCCAAUUGAAGUCAAAGGUUUCAAUUUAUAAGAUUCAUUAUGUCUCCUCAUGAAUCAUGACCAAGUAAAUAAUUCUUCUUUUUUAGUUAAAAUUUUCGUAUUGUCAAGAUUACUAGAAAGAAAAGUGAAGAAAUAUAUAUAUAUAUAUUAAGACUUGUUGUUUUAAUCUUAAGAUAAUCAUGUUUACUCUCCGCGAUUAUAAAAGUCAAUAAGUAGCACUAACAUGAAGGAAGUAAAGAUCUCAAGGGCGUUGUUGAAUAGUUUAAAGAUUGGGACCAAUUAAUAACAGGCAUAAACUUGGAUUUAAUUCAAAUAAUAUGUGGGCUCCCGAACCCACGUGGGCCAGUCAAUUUAUAAAGGACUAGGAUCAUCUCCUGAUCUGAUCUUUAUCUGAGCAAAUUAUAUUAAUAUGAUUGGUGAUUAAUAAAUUAAAAAGAAAAAGUAGUUAAAUCAUAAUAAUCCACUAACAUUAAAAUAUAAAUGGCACAAGAUUUGUAAAAUAUUAGGAGUGCUCAGAUCAGAAGAGUAUCAUGGUCCAUUUAGAAAACUUUAGAAUCGUUUAAACAUUGGGUGAGACUAUUGGCACACCUGUUAAUCCUCUUAAAACCCUUAUUCCAACAAAAUUACAAUUAAAGAUAAAUAUAAAUAAAAUUAAUCGCACUUAUAUUUUUCUCUCUCUUGAAUCUAUUUUUAAAAAAUAAAAUUUGAGAGUAUAAUCAACUCUUAAAAAUAACAUCUGGUAAUAUCUUGAACAUCUUUAAACACUAAUUAAAUCCUCAUUUAAUUACCGAACUUAAAACUUAUACCUAAGUUGAAUCAUUUUAUUGUAGCUCAAGAAUAACUAAUAGAGCUCAGUUCUAUUUCCUUUAUGACCCAUAACUAAUUAAAUCACAUUUGCUUCUGCUUAUUUAUCUUACAUUUUUUUAGUUUGGUCUAUAUAAUUGAUUUGCACAAACUCAAAAUAUUAGUAUUUUCUUUUUCUUUCUUUUUUCAUGUUAGUUACUAUUAUUUUUUUGGAGUUAACAUUUUUUGAAUUUUAUUGAGAGAAGGUUUGGAAAAAGGGGUUUAUUAAAAAAAGAUUUUUUAGCAUCAAAUAGAAUAUAUAAUAGACUCUAGUCAAAUUAAUACUCGAUAAAUUGAUAACCUCAACUAAAUAAUAGUUUUUGUCAAUUUCGAAUUGGAGCUAAUGUGGUAAAUUAAUAAAUUGAUAAAUAUAUUAGAUAAUAAAUUUAAAAAAUUUAUUUUUGUAUAGGACCCAAUUAAUAAUUAAUUAAUUUGAAAGUAAAUAUAUAUGAUAUGUUUAUGAUUUUCUUUGUUGUAUUGGCAUAAUAUUUUACGCAUUUCAUUGGUCAAAAUUAUUUUCUUUACACCUUUCAGAUGAGAAGCCAUUGUUGUAUUCUAUGUGUUAUGUUAACAUAAGUAAGAUAGAGAUAAGUUUAAUAUAUUGCCUCAGAAAAGUCUUCUCUAAUGAGUUGCAAAGUAAUCGUGAUCUAGCCAAGUGACUGAUUCACUCAGUCAAAAUCAAAUCAGAAUUGUAUCAUACAGAUACAGUUUGAUAGAAUCACUAUAUUAUCGAAUUAUACUAUUCCUAAACUUCAUAAAAAUUUCUAUUAUGAACGUGAUAUUAUUUUUAUAAAUUAAUAAUUAUUAAUUUAUCGAUAUAUUAAUAUUCACUAAAUUAAUAGACUUUCCAUGAUCCAAAUAUUACUAAUUUAUCAAAUAUUUAUUGUAAAUAAAAAAAAGGAUUUGAAGGGGCGCCAAUGGCUCAACUCUUAGACAUGAAUUGCAAGUAUAAAAGCUAAUUAUUUUCUUUAUUUGCUUAAACUUUUUUCUUUUGGUAGUCCAUGAGUAGGUGUCAAAUUGGUAAGAUUAAUUACACAUACUCUAAUUAUCUUAAGGUGGUAGUACUCCUAAUUAUUGUAUCACUUUUUUUGAAUUUAUGAGAAGGAUUAGUUAAACAUUUCACCCAAAAAGUUAAGCUAUUAAGUAAAGAUUUAACAUUAUUAGUAAAGAAAAGUUUAAAGUUUUAAUAACUUUUCCUCACAUGAAGUCCAUGCGUGCAUAAUCUAUUUUAGACAUAAAGACAUAGUAAGAAAUAGAUGUCUACAGUUAAACUAUCAUGAUUGUUGUCAACUAUUUUUUGGUGUAACAAUUGAUAUCUCUCCAUCUUUUUUGCUUUUUUUCUUUUCUUUUUUUCACAUCGAGCAUUUGAAUCUUCCCAUAUGUAUUAUAAGAGUAAAAUCUGUUUCAAUUUAAGAAUAACCCUCUUAUUUUUAGGGAUGUUCGAGAAUCGAAUUUUGCGGAUUGAACAUCAAUUUAUAUCUGAUUUAUGAUUUUGGAGAUUAUAAGUUUUCAAUCCAAUCCAAUUCACGUAUUGCCGAAAUUCAAUCCAAAUUUAGUCUAUACGUCAACAGAUCGGAUGCGAAUUUGACCCAAUCCAUAUCUAAUCCACCAUUUUACAAAUUGAUUUUGCAGACUAAAUAUUUUUAAUUUUGUCCAAUCCACAUAAAAUAAAAAAAUUAAUAUAUAAAUAAUUUUACUACUGACCAAAUUCAAAAAUCAAUAAGAUUUAAUCAAAUUAUUUAUUAAAAAAACUAGAAAAUACAUUCAAAAUUUCAAAAUUUCAAAAUAUUCAAAUAUAGCACACCUAAAAGAAAAAAUAUCAUUUGUUUAAAUACAUUAAAAUUAACUAAAAUUAUGAAAAUUAACUAUUUAGAAAACUAUAUUUGUUUAUUUAAUUAUUUUUAUUUUAUAUUAUUAUUGGAUAAGAUAUAAUAUGGUGUUAAUGUAAUUAUAUUUUAACUUAUUUAUUUAUUAGUAAGCACUAAUGCCGCAUUUAUAAGUUUUUUUUUAAUUAAAUAAGUUUUUUUUUUUUUUUUUGCGGAUCGUGGAUUUUUGUAGAUUAUAGAAGUAAAUCUAUAUUCAAUUCACCAACUAUAGAUUUUUCAAUUUUCAAUCUAAUCCAAUGCAUCAAUUCACAGAUUAAAUUUUUAUUGAUCAAAUUUUUAAGGAUCAAACAAAUUGAAUUUUGAACACUACUACACAUUUUCUUAAGCAUAUUUUGGGACUAUUCUAAGUACGGAAACUGCUCCAAAGUCAUCCUAUUCACAUAGGGUUGAGCCCAUCCGGUCAGUAGAUGCGGAAACUAUGUAGACUGUAGAGUGGUCAAAAGGCACCCAUCAGCCAAAAUUUCAACGUGUUAAUAAACCAUGCUUAGGGCUGUCACUUGUGUGACAUGCAUAAAUCCGCAUUUUCGCAGUUUCUUUUCACUAAUUUCAGUCUUUGCCAUCUGUUUCCCGCUCUUGCUCUUUGCCCCACAAGUGCUAGCCUAAUCCUUGACUCUAACUCUUCCCCAUCAUCUAUCGUAUCUCUUAAAAUUUUCAUUUUUCUUUUUCCAAAUGGCAAAUCGCUUCUUUCUUUUCGUCUCUAUAAAAAUCCAAAACUAUAACAAAAUUUUAAAUAUCGCACAAUGGCUGCGGCUAAAUCACUAGUAGUGCUGAUAAUGCUGUCUGCUUUAUUAUCUAACUCUUUUGUGUUAGUUUUACCAGCUAGUAAUUUUUAUCAAGAUUUUGACAUCAUAUGGGGAAUUGACAAGGUCAGGAUUCGCAACGAUGGAGAAGUCCUCAAUCUUUACCUUGGCAAAGACACAGGCUCAGGUUUCCAGUCCAAGAAUGAGUAUCUAUUUGGCAAAAUUGACAUGCAAUUCAAGCUUGUCCCAGGCAACUCUGCUGGCACUGUCACAUCUUACUAUGUAAGGCGUAAGCUGCCAGUGAUCUUGCACGAAAAUGUUUUUCUCUUUAAGAGUAAGCUUAUUUUUAAUUCUGUGUUAUAGUUGUCAUCACAAGGAUCAACAUGGGAUGAGAUAGACUUUGAGUUCUUGGGAAAUCUCAGUGGCGAUCCUUAUAUUUUUCACACAAAUGUAAUCACACAAGGCAAAGGUGACAGAGAGCAGCAAUUUUAUCCCUGGUUUGAUCCCACUUCAGAUUUUCACACAUAUUCCAUUCUCUGGAAUCCCAAAACCAUCGUGUAAGAAUUUCAAUCCACUAAUCAUCUCUUGUUGAAAACAAGCAACAAUUCAAGUCACUAAUUAAUCCUCUUCUUUUUUUUAUUAGACGUGUCUCUUUUUUUUGGUUUAAUACUUCAUAUAUUCUUUGGGCUCUUUUGGGUUAAAAAGGCUCUCUAACAUUUUUGUUUAAAAACGUUUUCAGAUUCUAUGUCGAUGGCACACCGAUUAGAGAGUUCAAGAACUUGGAGUCAAUCAACAUUCCUUACCCAAAAAACCAACCAAUGAGAAUACACUCGAGUCUCUGGAACGCUGAUGACUGGGCAACAAGAGGCGGUCUUGUCAAAACAGAUUGGACAAAAGCUCCAUUUACAGCUUCUUGUAGAAACUUUAAUGCCAAAACUUGCAUUCGUUACCCAGCAGGUCCAAUCAUUUCUGCGCCUUGCCCUUCGAAUUCUUCAUCCUCUGCAUGGAUGAAGAUCGAUGAGCUUGAUGAAACAAGCAGAGAGAAACUCAAGUGGGUGCAGAAGAAUUACAUGAUUUAUAAUUAUUGUACAGACACAAAGCGCUUCCCAAAAGGGCUUCCUCUUGAGUGUGCUGUGGCCACGAGUGCUUACGUAGAUUCCGCGCGAGUAUAAACAUAUAUAUAAUGACAAUACUUUAUAUCAUAAAUUUGCUAUAGUUAUACAUUACUGCGAUGUUUACUUAUGUUUACUUUCUUGAUUGGAGAAUCGAAAUUAUUAAUAGCAUUUACUUUACAAAAUAAGCAUCAAAAUGAAAGACUAAAAUAAGCAUGAAAAUGCGAGACUAAUUCUCAACGAUCGAUUUUUGGUACUCUUGACUCAUUUCACUCACAAGACCAAAAACUGGGGGACUGGUGUUAAGCAAAUAAAAGCACCAGGUCGGCCAUGCUACUAUUUCCACCCCGGCAUGAAUCACCUCAGCCAAAUGGUACGAGCAGAACAGGGGGUAACAUGAGCUGAUCAGAGACGAAUACCGACCAGAGUCGUAUACCGAGUCGGUACCCGUCCCUCAAAAAGCGGAAACACGAUCCCACAGAAUCGCGGUAGUUGCGCUUUUCCCAGAACCGUUGUGGGAGAUGCGAGAUCCCACGUUUGCCCACAAUGUAGCAGUUAAAAUCCCAUGAGGGGCUGCCACUACCCGAAAAAGGUGGGAUGAAUGGCAAACGGAAACGUGGGGACAACGGCUAUAAAAGAAGAAGAAAUCGGUGAAGAAAGGGGAAAAAAAGAGAGAGAGGGAAAACGCUGCCAAAUUGCAACUAGGCCAUUUCCUUACAAAUUUUUAAUAAGCUCCUGGAAUCCAAAUUACACUGUUUUCCCGUAAACACCUUGUGCUAACUUAGGCAUCGGAGGGUUUACGCCGGCAAAACCACCGGCGUCUCUGAUCCAUUUUUAGUGAGUGCAGGUCUAUUGAGAGAAAGGAGGACGAUUCCAAUCCCAGUGAACGAGCAACAGUAGAUAACACAAACGUUGGUGAAAGAAUCUGGUCGGUCAAGAGGCGAGCAGAUUUCAGCAUCAACACCUUCAUUCAAUUAAAAAAAUUUAAAUAGAAAAAAAAACCACAGCAAACAGUCGCUGUAAAUUGAAGCCUCACCGAUUUUCAUCGUCUUCACCAAACUGUUACUGCAAAAAUCAACGUCAUUGGUCGUCGCUGACCGUUGAGCAGGAGCAAUAGCAACAACGAUCUAGCAACAACAACCAUCACCGAUGAUGAUGUCGACAACGACGAUGAUAUUAUGAUCCAAAUCCGAUUUUGAUUUGUUGUUGUCGUUGAUGAUGAUGAUUUUGAUUAUUAUUAUUGUUAUUAUGAUUUUCAAAUGUAUUAUUAUCAUUAUUAUUGAUAAAAAAAUAUUAUAAUUAAUAUAUUCAUGUUAAUGAUAUUAUUAUUAUUAUUAACAAUAAUUAAUAAUAAUAAUUUCUGAAUAACAAUAAUUACAUUAAUUAAAAUAUAAAAUAAUAAUUAUGAUAAUAAUUAAUUAAAAACUUUUUAGUAAUUUAUGACAGUCUAAUUUAUUAUGACUAAGAUUUCAAGACAAACUAAACACAUCAAUGAUAAUACAAUUUAUUCUAAUUUUGAUUUCUACAGUUAAAGUAAAUAAUGUAGUUUAUUUCAUGCUCAAACUUUAUGUUGUAAUAUCAAAAUAAAGUUAUAAUAAUAGUAUUGAUGUUGUAUCAGUUAUCAUAUGAAUUAAGAUGCGAAUAUGCUAGAAAGGGAUCACGUUGAUAUGGUCUGUGAGAACUUUAGAUGAGUAAAGCUCAAUCUUUUAAGUCUUUUUACAUUAAGUAUAUUGAAUUUAUAAUAAAUCACAUCUGCAUCUUUCCAAUAAAAUUCGUAUUAUAACACUUCUGAUAUAAAGAAUGACAAAUCUGUCUUUUUAUUGAUGACCAAGACUGCAAAGAAUAGCUCUACAGAGAGCAUAUAAUUGAAUGUAAUAAGUUUACACUGAUUUAUCUGUUUGAUUUAAUCACUUCUUUAGGAGAUUUUUUCUUUUCAAAGGAAGGCCUUGAGGAAAUCUCUUUGCGUCGGUGCAGUAGUUGUAAAUCAUGUAUGUCUUUUGUACCCAUUUCAGCCUUUCUUAACUUGUUGAAUCAAGCUCUUGUGAGAACCAGGAGCAGCCGUUGGAUAUAUGGAGAGGAAGGUGAACUUGAAGCACAAGAAGAUAUUCCAUUAGACGAGACACAUGCAUCAGCAUUGAAGUUUCUAUAAGAAGCGGCGAAAGGAGCAUGUGUCCAUUGUGUCUUGAUAAGGCCACCUCUUGUAGCCUAGUCAUCAGCAUUCCGUAGAGAAGAGUACAUCCUCAUUGGUUGAUUCUUUAGAAAUGGCACUCCAAUUGAUUCUGAGUUCUUGAAUUCUCUUAUGGGGGUGCCAUCAACAGAGAAGCUGGAAAUUACAAUGAAAAAAGUUAUAAGUCUAAGCAAAUUAACGACAGGGAAAAAAACAGUACUUACACAAUGCGCUGAGGAUUCCAGAGGAUGGAAUAGGUAUGAAAAUCGGCAGUAAGGUCAAACCAGAGGUGAAAUUGUUGCUCUCUGUCACCUUUGCCAUUUGUGAAUACAUUGGUGUGCAGAGUGUAAGGGUCACCACUUAAAUUGCCCAAGAAUUCAAAGUCUAUC